CGUCUUAUUCAAAAUUCAAAAACCGAUAGACAUAUAUAUGAACUUCAACAGUCGUAGCGGAAUAUAAAUCAGAGUGAUCAAAUAUAUACAUGCCAUGAGCAAAUAAAUCAUGUUUCAAGGAUAAAUCUCAAAACCCAAACAUACGGUAGUCAUCAACAAAAUCAUAAUCCAACAGAAAAUAUAAACAACCUAAUCUAGACCGACACGACAAGCCUAGAUCAGAGCCGACACGACCCGAUAUCGGAGAAAGCUCCCGAUAUCCCACGCAAAGACUCACCGAGCACUACUCCUGCACAACGUCUACUCACCCAUACAGGCAAGUAGGCUGUUAAAACCACUGAGGGUAAGCAUUACAUUAUCAUAAUCCAGAUAAAUAUCAAUCAAAUAAUAUCAUGUACUUGAAUAAUAUUAGUCAUGCAUAAAUACUUACAUCACAACUCGAUAUCUAAUAUCAACAUACAUCAAUCACAUAAAUAAUUACCCAACCAUAAAUAUUCAUUCACAACACCAAUCAUUAUCAACAUACAUCAAUCACAUGAAUAAUUACCCAACCAUAAAUAUUCAUUCACAACACCAAUCAUUGAACAAUCAUUAUCAACAUUCAUUCAUUUCGUUUCAUCACCAAUCACAUAUUUCACAUAGGACUCAUGUUAUGAUAUGCACUUAUGGACGCAUAAAUGCAUGUGGUACCAAAUCUCAACAAGGUCGUCACCUUUCGAUGCCACUUGCACAUCGAAUGUAAGGGCUCACACCUGCCUUACAAUAAUCUCGAAGUAAAAGAGUCAUCCCUUUUACAGCAACAACGACUAUGAUGCAUGGACAUGUGUAAUGACUCGAUAAUGCAACAACAAUUCUCAAUCUCAACUCAAUAUAUAGGACAACACCCAAUUAUAUUGAUUAUCUCCACAACAUUGCAUUACCAAGAAAGCAUGCCCACACACAAUUAAAUCAUAGUAUUCAUCAUCACACAUCAACAUAUUUAUCAAUAAUCAACAAUGUCAUCCAACAUCAAUUACAUGAUUUUCAAUAAUCAACAAACAUCACUUAUCACGUAUGAUUUUACAAUUCAAGAAUUCUCAUAUUCCAAGUAAGAUAGCAUACACUUCUCAUGAUAAUUAUCAUAUCCAAAAUACAAUCAUUCAUUCAUACAACUUCACUUAGUCAUACAAGAAUGGUCACAACAAUUCAUAAGACAAUACAACUUCAAGAUUCACUAGACCCCCUUUUCACAAGGUUAAUUCUUCCAUAAAAACAGCCCUAGAUGAUUAGGAUAAAGUCCCUAUACAUAGAAAUAAGUUUGGAAACAAUUGGAUCAAAGAAAAUUGCAUUUUUAAAGUUUCUGGUCAGGCAAAAUCGUAGUCCAAUUUUUCUCCAUCGUAGUACGAUUUUUUUCGAACUGAAACACCCAAAAAUCUGGUCAAAAUCGUAGCCCGAUGAAUAAAAUCGUAGUCCGAUUUCUGCCUGACAGACAAUAUCAGAUUUUCCAAUUUUCACGUUUUCGCAUGUAAAAACCAAACUGUUAAUCCGUUUUCGGUGCUGUUUUCCUCUACUUGUUCAUGACACUUAGCCCUAUCUUAAUAUGCAGAAAAUUUCAAGUUUCAACAUUCCCAAAUUCAUUUUCCAAAACCCUACACAACACUCAUUUUCCAAAACGGUUAACAAUUGAAUUUUCACCCGAAACUCCCGUUUUCUUCCAAAACGACUCGACUAUCAUAACUACAACCUAAAAACAGAAAUUCCAUCAAGUUUAACUCAUCCAACCACAUAGACAACUCAGUUAACAACUUUGUAUAUCAAAUUUCACUUUGUUCCUUCACUUGAACAUCUAGCACAACUUCACCAAUACAAACAACUUAUUUCAUAAAAUGGAAUACUCAUGAUAUCAUUCAAUAACAACAACAUAUCUACUUCAACAACACUUCAUUUAGACAUGAAUUCAACCAUAAUUCAACAACACAAUAUCUCAAUCCAACAAUUGAGCAAAACACAUAAGUAUUCAUUUUCACCCAACCAACAACAACAACUUAUUUCACAACAACAAUUAUGAAUCAUGCAUACCCAAACCAUGAAUUAGCAUCCAUAACAUCACUUAACAACAACAACAUCUAUUGAUCAUGAAACUUAUCACAAUUCAUCAACAACCAUGCAUAAUUCACCAAUUGAGCAUAAUUUACAAACUACCCAUUUUCAUACAUUAUGAACUUGCAAUUUCAUCAUCAACAAUUCAUUUAACAUCAAAUUAACAUAUUCAAACAUAUCUCUACAACAUAAGCACGAAUUUCAAAGAUUGGGUUCAUGAUAAUCACUUAUUCUCAUAAUCAAUUAUGCAUAGAAUCAAGAGAAAAAGAAUUAAUCAAAUGAUUAUGAUAAAGACUAACCCCCUUACCUUAGGUAAUGCUCAAUCUAAACUUAGGCUUCACUUUAGCUCCUAACCUCACUCCAAUCUUGAUUCUUCAAGCUCUCCCUCUUCUUCUCUUCUCCCACUUUCUCUCUCUACCUCUCUUUAGGAAAUAUCUUGUGAAAUGAAUGAAAUGAUAUUCUCCUAAGAUAACUCAUUAGGUUUAACUCUUAAUGGGCCUAACCUAGUUUCUAGUGGGCUUAACCCAUUUCUAUUCAAACCAAAAAUAUUUCUACACUUCAAACGAUAUUAACUCAUAACGGUAAAAACUAAUCACUACACUGAUAACUUAGUAAAAUAAGGGUUCUCACUAACUAUUAAAAUAAUUCUCACCAAAUUACCAUGUUACCCUUACCCGCCAAAUGACCAAAAUACCCUUCUAAUACGGUAAUCCAUGUAAUAAUUAAAAUAAAUCUAGCUAAAAAUCGGGCUGUUACAUUGGGGCCAUGGAUGUUCUUAUACCAGACCUUCAUUUGAUAUAUUCAAGGUCACAUUUCUCUUUGCAUCCACACUACCGUUUCUAUUUGAAAACUUGGAUAAUGAUAUAUGUCCCGGAAAAAUUACUCGCGAAAGCAUCACGACUCCCAACAGCUGAAGUUCAUUUGCGAUGGUGUCAGAAAUGUUUGCUUCAUGAUGAAUAGCACUGCCCUUUGAACUUUUAGGCAGCAUCUGACUUUGGUAAUGGUAUUAUUUUUCCAUAAAUCUCAAAGAAGCUAGAAAAGAGGCUUUAAAAUAGUCCCACGUCGACCCAACAAGUAGCAAGCUAUUGUUAAUGAAUGAUAUGGGUGUUAUAAAGAACACCUCAUUGCUCAAGUUAAAUGAUACCAGACAUGGUCUACCAGGGCUAUGAUUUUUACACAACCAAUGAUACACUCCAUCCAUAUAGACAUGGGUGUUACGAAGAAUGCGACAUUAAAUGUUGAAGAUGCAACAUGUGCCGUGCUGUGCUCACGGUGACAUUUGGUCAUACACGCUUUUCAAUUUCUAAAAGUUAUUCAAUGUCAAACAAAUUUACACAUGCAUAUAUAAGCUUAGUUCCUCGUAAACCUCUUCCGUAGAACUUUGAAAGUUAGAUUAAUCUAACAUAUAAGAAGAUCACAUCUUGAUCAUUAGGUCAAUCAAACAGACAAAAUUUGGUAAUACAUUAUUCAAGUAGACCACUGAACAAGUCAUUGAUAAUACAUUCAAACUAAAAACUGCAUAAUUAAGCAUAAUUAAAUUAAGGCCAAGUUUUCUAUUAUCAUGUCUUAUGAACAUGAGUGCUGGAAAAAAUCACAGCUCUAUAAUAAAUACUGCUUAUAAUGCAUGAGAAAUGAUAACAAUUAGCAUGCAAUCGCAGAGAAGAUGCGACGACUUAUUUCAUCAACGGAAAUUUCUUCUGAAGAAUGGCCAUCUGCUACUUGUCCAAUAAGUUUUUAUCUUUUUCAAGUCUUCAUUCUCACUCUUAUAUCAGGUAUCAUUACAGAAUUCCAUUCCAUCUCUCUGUCAUUCUGUUCAUAAAAAUUCAAGCAAACAUAUGAGAGUUAGCAAUAGUACCAUUCAUGCAGUCAGAAUGUGAUCAACAAUACUAGUAUAACAUGUUUAAGCAAGUGCAUUUCCAGAUAGCGCUCGGCCAUAACAAAAAAUAUCAUGAAUUUCAAUCUUCUAAAGUGAGAAAAUCAAGGGUUGUAAUUUUAAUACACCCGUGAUUUGUUAUGAUGUAUCUACAACAGUGGCGGAGCCAUGUGUGUACUGGGUAUGGCCAUGACCUACCCACUUAUUAUUGAAAAUACCAUAAUACCCCUGGUUAAUUUUAAUAUCACUGCCAUAUGCUAACAUCUAGCUAAGAUCCUACUUUGUGAAAUCGCAGGUACUAUUUUUACAAUUCAUAUCUUAACAUAAUUAAGGAAAAUGUCAGUGUCCAGUUAUUUAUUUAUUUUUUGGUUCUGCGUCUGUUGAAUUGGGUUUCACAGAUAACACUACUGCUGCUGUAGCUAGUGCUGCAGUUAGUGUUACUUCUGGUGUUCUGCUAGAUAUGAACAAUUAGUGUAGAGCCCAAUUGAUGUUAUGAGUCAAAGACUAAUGUCAAGGCAGUUGUAAUGGUAGUGGUGGAAAGAGUAUUUUGGAUUUUUGGUUAAUCUUUAUUUUCUGAGAAUUAUAGAAAUGGUUUUGAUGUGUUAUAGAAAAUUCUUUAUGCUUAUGGGCAAGAGAAUUCUCUAUUUCAAUAUUGACUUAUGAAGCAUAUAAUGUUGUUUGUUUGACUUCUUACUCUAUGGUUCAUAGGUUCAUAUGGGGUAGUUUUGGUUCAUGUUUGACUUCUUACAUCAUUUUGAUAAUUUUAUUUCUUUGCAAUAGAAAAAUCAAGAUGGAGAAUAAAAAAUUUCAUUCAUUUUACACGAGGAAGGCCAAUGAUAUUGAAAGAUAAGAAGACCUUAUAAUUUCUUAAUCUCAACCUGAACAAGUUUGUGAGAAUCCAAGAAUUGAAGAAAAUGAGCCUUGUCAGUUUAUAUUGAAAGGGAAAGUUAGUGUAUCUAUUAGUUCCGAGUCAGUUAUUGAUGAUUUCAAGUCACUCGGAAAACGUAAAGUGUCACUUUAAAUAUUUAAUUACUGAUUUUAUGUAUUAUGUAGUUUAAAUUUUGAAUUAUCGAUUUUUGAUUUAUUACAACAUAAAUAUGUUGUAUGUAAAUAUGAUUUAUAUAUUUUAGUUUAUUUUGAUGGUGGCCAUCCCUAAUAUUUUUGUCCGGCUCCGCCAAUGAUCUACAAUGUAUCUCUUUAAUAUGUUAAUUACUGAAAGUAAAUGUACCUUAUAAAAUAGAAGAAUAAAAACCAAUGAGUAAUACAACUACUGCAAUGAAAUGUAUCUCAGAGUAUAUGGUAUGUUAACUCCCUACAUAUCUAAGUAUAUGCAAUGAUACACACAGUAUAUUUCACCACCUAUAGUAUAUUUCGACAUUAAGCAUAGAUAAAAUUUAACAAAAAAAAAAAACAUUAAGUAUAGAUACACUAUAUUCCAGUACCACCCCUUCAAUGUUACACUAUCAUAGAUCCUCUGUUACUCAAUUGUAACUAAUAUACAAUUAAGUUCAAUUAUACAUUUCUUCUGUUACUUAGCAGAAACCCUUGCCUCUCCAUUCACCCCUUUAUUGAGUUUUAAUUCAAGUGAUAGACUUAGGAAUGAUUGGUUAGUUACUAAGUUUAAACAAACUCAGGAAGUUCCAGUGCAAGUAACUACACUAGAGUUAAUUAGUUCAGAAAGCAUAUGGCUUUAUUAUGAACCAAAGACAUCAACACGGACACUUAACAUGACACAGACAUGUUGGCACCACUAGUAUAAAGACAUUCUAGCUUCUAGGUAAACGGGUGACUCUGGAGUUAUGCAACACUUCACACUCGAGCUUGUUCUUAUCAUGUUCAUCAAUGUCAGCUUCCUAAAUACCAUAAAAAGCAAAUCCAUUGUUACCUAUGAACCACAGACAUCAACACAGACACCUACACAAACAUGUUGACACCACUAGGUUAAAGAUAUAGGACACUGACACCACUAGUUUAAAGAUAUAGGAGACUGACACCGCUAUAUGCAUUUAUUUAUUUAUUUAUAAAAUAUCAUAAUUGAGAACUAAAAUAUAUACAACAAGAAAGCUGAAAAUGUUAUAUCAAACUUAAUGUCUUUUCUUGUGUUUUAACUUGAGCUCUGAUUAGAUGAAUUUUGCAUGGCACUUCUGGUAGUUAUUGAACAUGCUGUUCUCUUGUAUGAUAGCGAAACGUAAAGAAUUUUGCUGAUUAAACCUGCUUUUGAGUAAUCCAGUUACUCUGUAUAUUCUUUAGUACAGUGAAUAUUUUUUCAUGGGAUUAUUAUGUUACUUGUAGGCGGGGUAAUACUGAUAGUUAAUACGUAUUUUCAUCAUAAUUAGAUUUAGAUUGCUACUUUCUAGACCAACUAACCUGACAGCGAAACUGUUAACUAGUUAAAUAAAGAAAGCUAAGAUCUCACAUCGUUGAAUUUAACGUGUUACAACUUACAAUAGUUCUUGGAACAGGAAUUUUAGAAUUUUUUAAACUUGGCCAUUCUAAGACGAUGGUGAUGACAAUGAUAAUCACAAACAUGCCUUAUCAGCGAUAUAUAUUUAAAAUCGUGGCCCGGAACUAUCCAUAAUUUGGAGAAUAAUUCUAAGAAAUAAAGACAAAGCUUUGAGUUUCCGGUGUAUUAGCAUAUUUUAGCAUAAAACUACUUAGACGGUGUACACAAUUUUAUUAGCAUAUUUAAAGAUAACCUAAAUAAUUUGGUCCUCUAUCUCUACUUGAAGAAUCAGCAACAAAUUUGUUAACCAAAAAAUAUUAUGCAUUAAUAUAAGCAAUGUUCAGAAUCAAAUCUAAUGUUUCAGCUUAUAUCUAGUAAAUACAGCCUCACCACCAUUUUCUCCACCGAUAUCUUUGUCUACCGCAUGUAGUCAUAUGCAAUAGACAAUCCUUUCCAUUAAUUGGUAACCUUUCCAUUAAUUUGUAAUCGGAUAGUCUGAAUCACACAUUCAAAAAAUCACCUUUAAAUAAUCUCAAAUAUCGAUAAAGAUUUGACUGUCAAUAACAGUUUUACCGUGACACACAAACCUUAUGUUUUAUUAUCAUUAUUAUAUUAUAAAAUAUAAUAGCAAGUGAUGUGAUGUGAUGAUUACACAAGUUUAGCGACUUGGGUUCAUUUAAUUUGGACCAGUUAUACUUUAGGUUGAACUUGGACCACUCAAAUGACCUACAAAUGUAGGUUUGAAACCGGUCAAAAGUUAUGAAGCACACAACAAGUGAAUCGUACCAACCUCGAAGCUAUUAUUAUUGAGAAAUGAUAUUUGUACAACCAUUUUGUGGCAAUUUUUGUACAACUUUAUCUCUCAUACUCACAUUAUAAUUUUAUUCUCUCUCUUCAUUUUUCUCUCUCCUUUAUUUUUGACCAAUAGAAAGAGAGAAAAAUGAAGUUGUCAUGGUAGUUGUCAAAAAUGGUUGUUCAAAUAACACAACUCAUUUUUUUUUUUUUGGUACAUCACUACUCAUUAUUAUUAUUAAAUUUAAAAAUAAAUAGAACGGUCUCAUAACUAUUAAAAUUUAUAAAUCAAAGAGUUAAAAUUAAAAAUUUAAAUCUUUAAAAAAAAAAAAUUAAUAAAGUCUAUGGUACAUCAUCCACAGUAUUGAUCCAGUUUAAACGUUUAGUGUUAAAAAUUUAAAGGAGAUGACCAAUGACCGGGUAUAUAUAAGGGAGUAAUUUACAAAUUUUAAUAACUAUGAGAUUAUUUCAAAACAAAAAUUAAGCAGCAACAAGUAUUUCAAUUCUUCUGAUGUGAAUCAUAUUAUCUCAGUUCUUCUCCUCUUCUCACUGACGACUCACUCGCCUCACCCUAACGUCUGUAUUAUCUCGUCUCUCUCACCUCUUGUUGUUAGAUAAGCUAAGGUAAGCCAAUCGAUUCUCCAAUUUCUCAUUUCUUCUCUAUUUGAAUUGGAUUCAAGUUUUUUGUUUUAAUGUGCUCCAAGUGUUCGACAAAAUGCCUGAAUGAUUAAAUUUCUGUUACUUUAAUGGUGAGAAAAGACUUUGUAUGUACGUUUGUUUGUAUUUAAUUAUUUAUGGUUCUAAGUUUGUUUCAUUUUGGAGCAUAAUUUGAAUGAAAAGAGAUGAUAUGAAUCAUUACCAAUUACUUUGUUUUUAAUUGUAAAUGUUUCUAUUUGUAUAAAUUUUGUGCAUAUCACUUGCUUGAUAAUUUGCAUGAAAAAGGAUGCGAUGAAUCAUUAACAAUUACUUUGGUUUUAACUGUUAAUGGUUCUAUUUCUGAGUUUUGUUUACGUGCUAGGGUUGUAUACGUGUUUGAUGUGAUUUAAUUAGGUAGAAGAUGGAAGUUUUGUAUGGAACUUGAAAUUUUCUUGAGGAAGUUUUAUAUGCAAAUCUUGAUAUUGUAAGUGAUGUGAUGUAAGUUUAUGAUAAGUGAUGAUAAUGUUGUAUUAUCUGACUAGUAGCUGAUAGGAGUCUAGUGAGAGAACUUCUGUUAAUGGGGAUUAAUCCUAGAGCUAAGUAAUUGUAAAUAUAACAUUGAGGAGGUAAAAAUUUCUGCAUGUUUUUGUUGCUAAAAAGAAUGCUACUGUUGUAAAUACCUUAGGCCAAAACUCUGUCUUCCAACUUCGUCUUCUUCUUUCCGCAACGAAACGUUACGAUGAACAUGCUGGAUUGUUCUCGAAUCUAAAAGGUGCGAAAAAAUUAUCCUCCCUAAUCCUCAUGUUAUUUAAAUUAUCCUUACCCAAACAACAAGUUUUGUCUAUAAUGUUAGAAUUAAUUUGAUUUUAAUGAGUUUUAAUGGGUGGAACGGUGGAUUUUGUGUCUAUAUUUUAAAGCUGAAAAAGUUAAUUUAAGCAUAAAGUAAUAGAGAGUAUUGAUUUUUGUAUUUAGUCCUUUACUUGUGUGAUAAUAUGUGCAGGAACCAAGCCAUGGCCUCCAAGCUGCUUUUGCAGAGAAGGCUCUUCAGGUUCUUGCGACAGUCACAACAAUCCUCAUACUCCUUUUCUUCUUCAUCUUCCAUUCAACGAUCCUCGUUCCAUUCUGCGAAACAAACAGAAAUAUCGGGUUUCUCAACUUUCUCUAGAAGCUUCUGCUCUCGAAAGUCCAGUCUUGUUGAUGAAUCUAAUGCCCCCGCACCUAUUGAUUACACGUAUGACACAUCCUUUUGUGUUUUUCGUCCCUUUGUCUCAUUUGAUCCGUGAAAACUCUGUAAAUUUGAUUUUUUAGAUACUUUUUUUUUAAAAGCAAAAAAAUAAAAAAAAAUUGUCCCUCUGAAUUUGAGUUUUUUUUUUUUUUUUUUUUUUUUUGAAUAAGGAAAGUGUUAAAAUAAUAUUAUUGAAAAUCCAAAUGUCAGUGGCAAUUGCUAAUGCCUCGCGGGCCAUUAAUGCGUAGUGUUGAUUGAAAUAGAUGUUGUGUUUUGUUUAUUCCUUUCAAAUGGCUGGUAUGCUUUUGCUAUUUGCUAAUGAUUAAUAUGGAUGCAGUUCUCUACUGCAGGAGGGUGAAUUCCAUAGACUGGCCGAGUCCACAAUACAUAGCCUUCAAGAGAAAUUUGAGGUAUCUAUUCUCUAGCACUCCUGGAAACAGCCUCUUGUGUAAAACAGGGUAAGGCUGCGUACAAUACACCAAAUGAAGGGACCCCUUCCCGGACCCUGCAUAUGCGGGAGCUCUAGUGCACCGGGUUGCCCUUUUUAUUCUCUAGCACUGUUUUGAGUUUUACACGAACUUAAAUUUAUUAUAUGAUACGACAAUCUCGGUAUCCACUUCAAAUUAUGUAUUUGAUCUAACAAUUGCCAACAUUAUUUGAUAAAUAUAGAAUUUUGAUACAAUUAUGCUUAAAUUCAAAUGUGUUUCGAUAAAAUUAGUAUUGGUUGUGAUGGAAACUUGACAGUGACAAUGUUACACUUCAUAUUAUUUAAGAGUUUAAACUACAUUGGUUAUUAUUUUGGUUUAUUGUUACUUGGCAGGACUAUGGAGACUUUAUCGACCUUGAUGGAUUUGACAUAGACUAUGCGGUGAGAAACUUAUUUGGAGAGUAUGUUAUAGUUUUAUAGAAGAUAGGUAGCAAGCAGCUAAAAUUAUUUCUUAUAUAAUAUCCUACAACUUAUGUAUUUUAGAAGACAACACGGAAGCUAUCUUGUUGUAUGUGAUUAUUUCAAAAAUAAUCACAUCGAUAACUUGAUAACCUUUUUUAUCGAUGAAACUCAGUUAAGUAGUUUGAUCUUUUGAAAAUUAAAUGCUUUCUUUUCCCUGUUAAGACUUUAAAUAAUUUAUUCCUAUUAGUUUUAAGAAGCAUCAUCCCUGUGUCUGUGUGGGAGAUAUACUAAUUGUUAACAUGGCUUUCCUUUUCAGAAUGAUGUUUUGACUGUCAAACUUGGGGAGUUGGGCACCUAUGUAUUGAACAAACAAACACCAAACAGACAACUUUGGCUUUCUUCACCAGUGAGGUAUUUUAUUGUAUAUAUGGUUUUUUUUUUUGGUUUUUUUUUUUAAGAUGUAUAUUUUUUAUAUCAGGUUUUACUCUCUACUAGCCAUCAGUAUUCAUGUAGUAAGUAUAUGGCAUGUGAGUACUUCAUAGAAAACUACAAUAUCCAUGCUUACUUAAUAUUUCCUAGGAUAUCAUUACUAAAUAUGAACUGGAGAUAACAAAUCCAAUUAGUAUUGUAAACAAUCUUCUUUAAUCAAACAGGCUAUUUAUAUGUUAAUAGUUGUGUAUUUAUUAAGGCAACCCUAUUGGGAAAAACCCAAGUCCCACAUCGGAUAGAUAAGACUCAUGAUAAUAGUUUAUAAAGAGGAGACACUCCUCACCUUAUGAACCGCUUUUGUAAGGAUGAGUUAGGCCCCAAAUUUCAACAUGGUAUCAGAGCUUGUCGAGUUCAAAGGGCACCUACCUAUCCACGCACCAAGUCUAAAAAGAGUGAUGGGCGUGAGGGGGUGUAUUGGGAAAAACCCAAGUCCCACAUCGUCUUGAUAAGACUCAUGAUAAUAGUUUAUAAAGAGGAGACACUCCUCACCUUAUGAACCGCUUUUGUAAGAAUGAGUUAGGCCCCAAAUUUCAACAUGGUAUCAGAACUUGUCGAAUUCAAAGGGCACCUACCUAUCCACGCACCAAGUCUAAAAAGAGUGAUGGGUGUGAGGGGGUGUAUUGGGAAAAACCCAAGUCCUACAUCGGAUUGAUAAGACUCAUGAUAAUAGUUUAUAAAGAGGAGACACUCCUCACCUUAUGAACCGGUUUUGUAAGAAUGAGUUAGGCCCCAAAUUUCAACAAACCCUGUGUAAUUGAAGUUUUACAUAUGUUGGUGUUUCUUGUCCUUCGCAUGUUGGUCUUUCUUAUCUUAUUGGUGGAGAAGAAAGAAGCAAGGAUUUGAAAACUUGUAGAAACUUUCCCUUUGGUUUAAUUGCUUUAUUUGAAGUGUUAUCUUAUAGUUUCUUUGUGAGGAAAUUGAGGAUAUAUACAAUAUUUUAUCAGGGUUCAUUUUUAAUGUUUUUCUUCAGGAGGAAAGUACUGUUAUGUAAAUUGAAUCUGAGCUCACGGAAGAAAUGAGUAUAGUAGUAAUUUUUAAUAUUUUCAAUUCUAUUAAAAUAUAGGUUUAGUUCUUUGCAUUGAGAGAUGUUACUAUCUUGUUAUGUAGCAAGAGCAUAUGCAGACCUUGUUAUAUAGCAAGAACAUAUGCAGACCGAUCUUGUCUGUUUGUACCAUAAGAAAUGGUAUCUUACUCUUGUUGUAUCUCCGUUCAAUGCUAUUUUGAUUAUCAAUAAAGAAGUAGGACGCAUUCAGCCUUAACUCUUUAAGUGACAUUAAUUAUGAUCGAUUGUAGCCACCGGAAUUUUCUUAUCAUUUUGGAGGAUUCUAAGACUCUCAUGUCGGAGAGUCUCACCUAAUAAGUGAAACUUAUAAGGAGUUUUCCCAUCUAAUAGUCUAGUCUUUUAGAUGAGCUCUCCCUUUGCGAAAACUUGAACUCGAUAUGAGCAAUGUGUUUUUGUGAUCCUUCUGUGGGGGUCAAGUUUUAAAACCCAUAUUAGAAAAAGCACACAGAUUGUGCAAAAACUAAACCUUGUCACUUAAGUUUGUCCCUGUAAUCCUAACUCCUAAGCCUCUUGCAACUGCUGUUCAACAGCCCUAAUUUUUGUUUGUGGGUUCUUUAUUUGAUAUGAUCCCUCCGUUUUCCGUUAUCCAUAUGCAAGGGCUUCCUUUCCAGUUCUACAGAGAGGUUGCUACGUGUUCUUCUCCCCUGCUAUACAGCCACUCAUCUUCCUUUUUCCAUGCGCUGCUGCGACUGCUCUUCAUUUCUGACACGGUCCAUUUUUCCUCUGUUUGUGUUGUGUGUUUGUGCUUUGUUCUGUUUCUUCCGUGUUCGGUGUUUUUGUAUUUGCUAUCUGGAGCUAUUACUUGUAUAUGCAUGAGUUUGUGAAAUUUGUGGGAUAAUACAGGAUCUUAAGUUUGUCUACCUUAUUCCUACUAAUGGGUUAGCCUGUUGUGGUGGCUCUCCUUUUGACCUUAUUCACAUAAUAAAGGCCUUUGUAUGGUUUUGAGGCUUUAAGUGCAGUUCGAUUUAUUUUAAGUAGAAUACAGUUUGAUCCUCUUGACGUGCAUUUUUUUUAGGAAAAUAGUUUUCUAUUUUAUCAUGCUUGUCUUUUUAAUCUGCUUUGCCUAAACUAGACGGCCAUUGACAUAAAACAUAGGACAGAAUAGGUAUAAUAAUAAAAAUGAGACUUGCAUAUUGACAGUAUCUAUUUCUCUACGAGUUCUACAUUCUCUUCCACCUGUCUAAAAGUCUCCCAUUUCUAUUGCAGUGGUCCGUCUAGGUUUGAUUGGGAUCAGGUUACUAAAGCUUGGAUAUAUAGGCGGAACAAAGCAAAUUUAUACAAAAUCUUAGAAGAUGAGUUGGAGCAGUUGUGUGGCAAACCUAUUGUUCUUUCCUAAGCUGUUGAGAAUGUGGUACUUAAUCUUGAUUUAAAAUUUAAAAAUGGGAAAUCAUUGGACAUUGUUGAUGAUCCUUUGGCAUUCAGGUGUACUCAGUAAGCAGAUUUUGUUCCUUUGCCACCUUUUACUCUGUAAACUAUACCAGUUCUUUCACAAUCAUGACGUGAUUGUAUCUUCUGAAUAAUCAGCUCUAUAUAGAACUCAUGUGGUUGACAUUAGUUUACUCUUCUGAAGAAUUACAAUUGUAAUGGGCAUUAUUGUUGGUUACUACUGGUGAGCUAGAGCAACUCAAAUGGUGAUCUUUAUCAAAGGUUGUUUUGCGGGUCCUCUAACCACAUCAUCUUGAAGCAACUAUUUUUUUUCAUUUGUUCCAAUGAUAAAACACUAAAGAACUGAUAUUAGAACAACAACUUUAUCACCCAAUCUUGUUUUAUUCAUAUGUAACAUUAUUUUAUAUUGAACCCUGUUUUUAUUGCAACAAACCGAAAGAAAAUAAUUUUAUUUUAGUCCCUUUUGUUUCAAAGUUUUGUUGCGUCAAUAAGCAACGGUGAUGACAGGACAGCUGUCCAAUUUUCUUUUAACUCUAAAAUGGUGAAAGGGUGCAACACAUUGGCAGACUCACCCAUUGGUAGAGAAAUUAAAUUUGAACAACGAACAAUUUUUUGAAUUGACUUCUUUUUCUAUAGCAAAAAAUAAUAAAUAGAAAAAGAGAGUAAGAAUACAAUGAAAACAUGAAAGUUGUUUAAAAAAUUGCUGGGACGAUUUAACUAUUUUAGAAUACGAAUAACACAUGAAUUCACAAGGAUGGUUUAACUAACGAGCAAUGAUAUUUGAACAACUAUUUGGUACCACCUUUAUGACAAAUUUUUUUCUCUCUUCUUAUUGGUCAAAAAUAAUGAAGAGGGAAAAGGGAAGAGAGAGAAUAAGAAGAUAAUGUGAGUAUGAGAGAUAAAGUUGUAUAAAAAUGAUUGUACGAAUAUCAUUUCUCUUAACUAUAUAAACCUAUUAUUAAACACUCUUAAAUUGUAAGUUUCAACUACUCAAAAUAAGUUUUAGAUAUAGAUAAAAUAAUUGUUUUUACACAUUCAAGGAUAAAAUUACUUUAUAGAAAAAUACCUAGUUAAAAUUAGUAUUAAAUUAAGGGUUAAUGGUGCUUUACCCCCUGUAAUAUAGGUCAUUUUUUAUUUUCCCCCUGUCAAAUAUUUUUUUUGAUUUACCCUCUUGUAAAAUAUAUUUUUUUUGGAAUACCCCCUAAUAUUUUUUUUUUUGAAUACCCCUAAUAAGUCAUUAAAAAUAUUAAUACCAAUAGUUUCCAAAACCGAAAAUUCAAUAACAAAAACAUAUUGAUGUAAAUCAUAUAUUAUUUAUAUUCUUUAGAAUAGUCUAGAUACAUUAUAAUCAAACUGAUAUUUUUUUGUUUUUGUUUUUACACAUGAGUCGAAUCUGAUAGAUAUUUGUGGAACUAAUCUAGGUUUAAGUCAAUAGGGUUGUCCUCGACAGUCUUUGUUGGGACACAAAGGACAUAGCGUCACGCAAGGGUACUUUCGUCCAUCCAAUUCAAAGAGAGUGGUUUUUUGUUGGGAGAAGAGCAAUUUUCAACAAAUAAACCUAAAGUAAUCAUCUUCUUCAUCGCAACACAAGAAGCAUGUCAAUCCUUAGUCGAUUGAAACUCGCAGGUACUCGUUGUUUCUUCUACUCUCUCUCUCUCUCUCAUUAAAUUUCUUGAAUUUGUUAUUGCUUUGUUACAAUUCUGUUCUAAGAAAAUUCUAUUGCGCUUCUUAAUUUAGCCUCACACAGAAAUAAUAUAUAUGUUUAGUCUUGGCAAGGGACCAAAUACUAACGUAUAGUUAUCAUAUAUAUUGCGUGCUUGCAGCAACAAUGAAGAGCUGUGAAAAGCUUGAGAAUGAGUUGUCUGAUCAUAUUAUAUCUUAUAUCUUUUCCAAGUUAGCUUUGAAAGAUUUGGUGAAAACCAGUGCAUUGUCCAAACAAUGGAUUCACGAAUGGGGAUUAAGGAUGGACCUUAACUUCGAUCUCUAUACCAUGUCCGACUAUAACACAGAUCAAGACUUGUCACAAAUCCUUCCUCUCUCUCUCAAAGGUUUCACUUUCAAUCUGAAUUUUCCACAAGAUUGGAUCAAUUUAUGCUGCAUUAUAAAGGUGCCAUCAUCCGUUCCAUUCGAGUAAAAUUUCCAUUAUGUAAUCAACAUAGGGAUGUCAUUCAUAGAUUGAUCUCCAAAGGAAUUGCUAAGGGUGCCAAACAUAUUGAACUUCUCUUCUCUUCUGAAACAACUGAUACUACUAUUUCUAUUAUGCCAUACAGAUUUUCCCUUAUUCUCUUACUUGAGAAUGAUUCUGUGACCUAUUUGCACCUACAAAACUGCCUCAUAGACAAACCCAGAUACUUCUCUGGAUUAAAAAAUUUGAGAACUCUUGUGUUGCAACAAGUUUUUGUGAAGAAGACACUCCUUAAGACUUUGUGUUCAAAUUGCAACCACCUUGUUGACCUCACCCUUGAUGGUUGUAAAAUCACUUCCAAGUUGGUAAUAAACAGCCCAUCAUUGCUUCGUUUGAACAUUGCUAAUGUUGGGUUUUACCCUCGAAAUCUUAUUACUAUCAUUGCCUCAAGUCUCUCAUCCUUUGAGUAUUCUUGUCUUAAAGAACAUGUAGUACACCAAAUGAACAUUCAAGCUCCUAUGUUAUCCAAGUUUAGCUUUAGAGGUGCUUUGUUUUCAAAGCGUAUACGGUUAUCUGGAUUGACGAACGUAACAAUAAUUAAGUUUGAUGCAUUACUAAUUGAUCUAUCCACAAACAUCUUGCCUCAUUUGUUUUCUAAAUGUCCUCAACUUGAAGCUGUCACUCUUAAGAACUGCUUGUUCACAAGUUCAACACAAAUUACCAGUUCGAAGUUACGUCAUUUGAUCAUACUUGAUAGUGUUUGGGUGGAUGACUCUCCUUCUGAUAUAUCUAUUGAUGCAUUAAAUCUUUCAUCCUUUGAAUAUACUGGGUACACCACAAGGAUAAUUUCUUUUACGGCUCCAAGGUUAUCGAAGGUUUUCUGGGAUACAUCAGAGAGAGAGAAUAGACCACACCUUUUUGAUCCAAUUGCAAGUUUACCACAUAUUGAGAAUUUAGCUAUGAUCAUCGGCACUUUACAAGUGAGUCGCUCAAUGAUAUUCCAACACUAUAGUACAUUCCAACAGUGUCUAGGUUUCUUUCCAUUACGUUUUUCACUAGCUGCUUUUAAUUCACUUAAGUAUCAUUGUUGUAAACAGGUAAAGGAAUUAGCGAAAGUCUUGGUUCGGUUUCAAAAUCUUUGACAAUUGGACUUACAUAUUGAUGGAGCAUGUGAUCCUAUUAUGGACUACUUUUGGCUUUUGGAUAUUGCAACGGCUUCUAGGCAUCUCCAAAAACUUACACUGAGUGUAAGUUAUUCAAACUUUUUUUUUUUUUCUUUUGUCUUGAAUGGAACUAGAAGUUUAUUUUAAAACUUAGCUGCAGUACGAUAGGUAUUGUUUUUGCUAUUUCCCAAUUGAAACUAGACACAUGUAAGAGUAGAUAAAUAAAGAUGAAUAAUUUUUGUUUUUCUUUUUAAAUAUUAACACUAACUUAAAACUCAUAUACUUUAAAAUAAACAAAUUUCUCCGAAUGUUUUUUCAUAAUAGUAAAUUAGAUUUAUUUAACCAAAAAUCCCAAAUCAAUUAUCAAACCUUUAAUUGAUAUUGAAAAUGGGUGAGAGACCGAAACUCAUACAAUUGAAUUUGAGAGACCAAAAAGUUGGAUUUUAAAAUAGGGGACCAAAACUUCAUUUUUCCUAAAACAAGUCAAUCAAAAGUGCAUUUAAGUCAAAAACCACUAUCAAACAACUCUAUUUUAGUCUUGUGUGUUUGUAUGAAAGUUAUACUCUAUCGGUUUAUAAAUACACGUCGUAGUCAAUCACUUCACAUAUGCUAAUACACAACUUUGAUAAUCAAUAUCUUUAGUUAUCUAUGAUAAAAAAAAAUUAUAACAGUUAGAUAUGUUAUAAAUAUUCAUUGAGACAAGUUGAACAAAAUCUUAUAUACUAACAUUAGUGUUUAUAUAUUAGGUAAAAAUAUAUUACACAUUAUGAAUGUGAAUAAUACAUAUUACCAACGUCAAAAAAGAAAGAAAGAAUAGUACACAUUAUCAAAUUGUUACAUGUAUCUUAUAAGCUAAUAGUUUGACCUUGUCAAACAUAAUAAACAACAUCGUAUUUCAAUUAAAAUAAUGAAUAAGUUGUGGAUUAGUUUUAUAUGCUAAUGGAAUUUUAAAAUUCUCAUAAAUGUAUCGUUAUUUUCAAUUUUCAGAUUAAAAAUCUUCAUCCGGAACAUUCACAUAUGGUUGGAUUUAAAAGGCAGAAAAGCGAAUAUGAGGGGUUUUCUCAUAAUGUUUUGAAAUAUGUGGAGUUUCUCGGCUGUGUUUGCUCCAUAAAUGUUUUUGAGUUAGCUACUCACCUAUUGAAGAGUGCAAAUUCGCUUAAGAAAAUGACUUUCCAUUCUAGUGACAGAGUCUAUCUUGGAGGUGGUAGAUGGACAACUUAUUUUAAUGCAUGUGGUGGUGAUUGUUGGUUAGGAAAGAAUGUUAUUCACGAGAUGUUUAAGGAUUGUUAUCAUGGUUUUUGGGUGCCAAGCCAUUAAUUAGACUUGUACCUUUCGACCGUUGAUAUCUCUAUUUUUUCUUGGGAAGGGCAAAAUUGAGAAAAAACCCUUAGAUUCUAAGUUCGGGGGCCGGUUUUACUACGGGAAGGUGUUAGGCACCCGGAGUAACUAUAGUCCUCUAUAGGAGCCGUUUUCCUAAGUCUAUAUUCACGCUUAUUUUUACUUACUUUUGAAAAUGGGAGGUUUAUUUAGUUAAGAAUGGGGGGGAGAGAUUGUAAGACUUUGAUUUUAUUUCGGCUUGGAUGAGUUUUGACUCAUUGCCUACGUACCGUUUUACAGGAUCAAAACCGGCGUAGUUCUUGCUAAAAAGACUUGUUUUUCUUUUGUUUUAAUUGUUUGAUUUUAAGUUUUGAAAAAAAGGUUUUGAAGAAGGAGAUUGGGAGGCUUCAUGAGCAUUAGAUUUUAGCAAAAGGUGAAGUUUGAUUAGUGAUUAGAAAAAAAGUCUAAAUGAUUAAGAUGAAUUGAAUUUUCCUUUAGAGAAAAAAAAAAAGAAAGGAAAAAAAAAAAUGAAGUGUUGACUUCAUACUUAUUAUGAAAAUUUUUGAAGUGAAGUUCAAUUGUUUUUUUUGGAAAAAAGAUGGAUUUUCUCUAAGUGUUUAAAACCUAAACGCUUAUUUAACCAUACAAUCCUAUGCAUACAUCUAAGGUGAGUGUGUGCGUGUCGGUGCAUCAUAGUGUCCAUAGUCCAUAUUACAAAAAUUGCCUAAAUACAUUCUAUGGCCCCUUUGCCAAGCUACAAACCAAUGAUAACAAAUUACAUUACCAAAUGAAUUAAAACUUGCAAAAGAUAAAGGCUAGGCUAAAGAAAGUGGAGGGAAUGCUAAAUGGGAUGCAUGAAACAUGGAAAUAAACUUGUUAGUGAAAAGAAAAAACAUAACAAGUACUAAGAAAUAAAAGCAUGCAAGAUGGCACAAAAAGUUAACAAAAUGACAUUAAACCCUAAAAACUUAGGUAUGAAACCUAAAGCAUUCUUGGCCUCUAAUUCUCAUGCUUUAACAAAUUUUGAAAGAGUUUUCUUUAUCUCAAGUUAUAGCAUAGAAUUAUUGGAAACAUGCAAACAUGGUUUCAUGCCACAUUUUCUAGAAUAAACUUGGCAUUUUAUAUCUUUCAAAAUAUGCAUAUAUUGUUCAUAAAAUCAAGCACUCAUGAACCAAAUCAAAACAGCAAAUCAACAUGAAAUUAUUGGCACAAAUCUCUCAUAUUAACACGUCAAGUAGCUUUUAUUUCAUAUUCUCACAUCAAGGACAAAUGUGUGAAGAAGAAUCCAUAACAAAUAAUUCAAAGAGAAUUAAAAUGCUAUGAAUUAAUUAUACAAAAAUUUCAUAGAUCCUUAAUGUUCAAAAAUGUCAUAAAAACACUAAGAAAAUAUCAAGAAACAUGUGAUAAUUUUUUGGAGGUUUUUUGGAGAAAAUUUUAAGCAUGCAGGGGUUCAAACAGCAAAGAAAUAUGGUGCAAAUAGCAGGAAAACAAACAAAAACGUAAAAGAACAAAGCCCAAACCAAAGGCCCAAUACACUAGAAGAUCCGGUUGCACAGGAACCAUACGAUUGAUCCAGGAUUCUGAAACCCUAGAUCAGACGGCCAGGAAUCAAAGGGGGAAUGGACCGGACUGGACCGGUCCGGUUCGCUGGCUUAUAAAAAGGAAGGAGCUCCGGUUUAUUUCAUUUUGCUGCUCUCAUUCUCUCUCUAACUCUUCUCUCUUCUCUCAUCUCUCAUCUCUCACUAACUUCGCCGCCGGCGAGGAUGAAGCUACGGCGGAGACCUUGAAGGUCCGCCGGAAACUUCAUCUUCUCCGGCGAGUUCAUGCAGUUUCCGGUGACCUAAAUUUCCAGAUUUCAAAGAUUCUUACUCCAUUUGAUUCGUCCUUUAACCCUAAACACGAAUCCAGCAGUUGUUUUUUCAAAUUCAAGUCGAAACGAUGUAGAUCUGGAAAUUUGCCGUACGGCUUUGAAUUUGAUUUUGAUUUUUUGAAAGAUAACGUUUAGAUCCUUGAAGAUCUACAUCAUUUCGUUGUUUAACACCUCUUUGAUGUUUGUUCUUGCUUUCAAAACUUAGAUCCUUAUGGAUCUAGGUUUUGUGUUUACGGUUACGGUUUUGGCUUUGAAUUCUGGAAAUUUGGAUCUGUUUUGCUUGCGUGAUUUUUAGGUUUAACAGUGAUAUUGCUUUUGAAAAAGAUUAUGAGUUUUACCUAAGGUUUUGGUUGAAACCUUUAAUGGAGAAAUUCUUUGGAAAACUUCAAUCUCUGAUGCUACGUGAUUUGGCUUUGAAUCCGGAAAUAAACCGGUGUUCCUGCUGGUUUCUUGCUUUAUCGUCUUCUUCGCCGGUUUAAACCUUCAUUAUCUUUCUUUCUUCUUCGUCUUCCUCACUGUAUCUUCGUGAUCGGUGCUGGAGUUUGCCUUUGGCGAAUUCGCACCUUGAAUUGCGAAGAUACUGAUUCAAUGAUGAUGAUUCUUCAAAGAAUCACUGAGAAUCCAUGAAAAAUAGCUUGAAUUUGUGUAGUUUCUGUUUCUGGAAAAGGUUAGGUUUACGCCAUUGAUGAAUGUUGAAGCUUUUUCUGUUUUGAUUUGUAACUGACAAGAGAGAGUGUGACUCUGUGUUUAUGAGUUGGCACCUGAUGAAUGGCUUUGAGUGGCACUGUGCACCUUUUAUAGCAUGACAUGUGUGCCUCUGAACAAAUGAGAAAGUGACACCUGGACCUGGAAAAAAAAAUGACACGGCCUUGGACAAAAAAUCAAAUUUGGACCUUCUUGCAAAAAACAAAACUUAAGGACUAAACUGCAAUUGACCAAAAAAGGACUAAAAUGAAAAUUGGAAGAGAAACUGGACUGAAAUGUAAUUUUGGGACCUCAAUUGAGGGACCAAAAUGUAAUAAAAAAUAAAAUUGAAUAAAACGUAAUUUGACCAAACGUAAAGCGAAACAAAAAUAAAAUUGACAAAACGGACUAAAACGAACCAAUGGCCUAAAUGAGGUACUUCAAAGUAACCUCCCCAUGCCAAAAUUUUAUGCGAAAUGACCAAAAUGCCCCUAGGGCUAAAAAUGACCUAAACAGAGCCAAAAUGACUCGACACUGACUCAGAUGCAAGUUUGAAAUGAAAUUAGCAAGGUUUACUGAUGGAAAGUUAAAAAUGAAUUUGAAAAGACCCAGAGACAGUCACAAGGAUGAAAAUGGGUCCCACUGCAGGAAAUGACCAAAAUACCCUUCUGUAUGACUUUUUUUGCAAAUUUUGAAAUAAACUGUAGAAAAAGCAAUGUAAUGAUUCAGAGACACUUUUGAAUGACUUACAAGACAAGUAAAGACAUUUCGAAAGGUUUUAUGCAAGAAAAACAUAGGUAAAAUUGUGAUUGAAAAUACUGCGAGGCAGAGACAAUUUGAACUGUGCAGUUGAAAUUUGAUAAUUGACAAAGUUUGAAAAUGAAAUUGGGCCCAGUAUUUUUAGGUCCAAAAACAGGGUAUAACAGCUGCCCCUAUUUAAGUUUCUUUGUCUGGAGAGUCAAGAGACGGAGUCUUUGGCUUGACAGGACGAAGACACUUAAAUAUUAGCAUUUGCACUGUGUUUGGACGUAAAAAUACGCCUACCCAUUUUCAAAUAAUAUGCAUGCCAUGCAUCAUUUGGAUUAUGAAUGCAAGACCUCAUGGGGAUUGGAAUUAACAAAAUAUGUCGUAUCCAUUGCGGGAUUGGUAGACAUUGACAAAGAUAGUGAAUAGCAGAGUAACGGGAAACUAGAAACAAGUUGGACAGGUACAAGCUGUUCUUGGAUUCAAACUAGCCACUUGACCGGGGAUGAAACAAACAGACAACUGCGAGUUGUUCUUAUGGAUUCGAACUGGUCACUUCACAGGGGAUGGAGGUUACUGGACAAACAUGAGUUGUUCUUAUGGAUUCGAACUGAUAACUCACUUGGGGAUAUUGGAAAGUGCGAGUUGUUCUUAUGGAUUCGAACUGGUGACCCGACUGGGAAAAAGAGAAAAUUGGCAAGUACGAGUUGUUCUUAUGGAUUCGAACUGGUUACUCGACUGAAAGCAUGGCAAAUAGACAGGUGCGAGCUUGUUCUUGGAUGCGAACUGGUUACUCCACCGGACAGAAACAGAUAGACAGGUACAAGCUGCUCUUGGAUUGAGCUAGCCACUUGACCAAACGGAAACAUAUUGACAGGUACAAGCUGCUCUUGGACUGAGCUGGGCACUCGACCGAUAACAUAAGCAAAUUGAUAGGUACAAGCUGUUCUUGGACUUGAACUAGCCACUUGACCAAACAGAAACAUAUUCACUGGGGAUUGGUUUUGUUCUGACAAAAUAUAGAUUGAGAUUGACUUGACGUCGAUUUGAUUUGAAAGGUAGAAAUUGACCGAUAUUAUUGGCUCACAAGGUUUUGACAGAGAACCUGACAUGAGUUUUGAAUUGAGACUGAUGUUGACAUUGAAAAUGCAAUAUGCACGGAUGAUAUAACGAUUUCAUUAAAUGCAUGAGCACGUAAUAUGCAUGAUUAUGCAUGUAUGAAUGCUUGUAAUGCAUGACUGUUGGCAUUUUGUAGGCACGACUUCACGGGGAAGACGAGACAUCAGAGUAUUGGGCACGUAGUGGCUCGUGCUAUGUUACACCUUCUUGGAAAUCCUCUUUGGAGAUGACGUCGUUUGGGAGACGUAUCGGAACCAUGGCUGAGGGCAGGUAGCUAUGCAACUUGCUGGGGAUAGAAUCUCGAGAGACUUUACUGGGGAUAAUGCCGUUGUGAUAGGCAUGUUGUGGACAUCGCAUCUGUGGUCAAUGCUUUUUGCAUGUUAUAUUCUCAAUUCUCAUUCAUCAUUUUUUGCAUCCCAUUUUUGCCUGGAUCGCCCUUUCGGGUUUUCGAUCCACCGGGGAAAUAAAUUCUUUUCAAUGCCCCAUUUUUGCCUGAACUGCCCUUUCGGGUUGUCAAUCCAGCGGGGUGCUCAUUUUUGCCUAAGCCGCCCUUCCGGGUUUUCAACUUAGCGAGCCUUUUCAUUUUCAUGCAUUUGCAUUCUGUUUUUUUUCAUUUUUGCCAUUGACCACAGAUUAUCUUGGAGGAGAACCUGCUUGUAACAUAUAUGGAAAUAGACAUUAACAUACUCUCGCUCAUGCAUGUUUCAUUUGAAUGUACCCUGUUGCUCAGGUUUGCUUUUCAAAACAGACAAAAAGUUUUCAAUUUUCAAAAUGUUUGUUUCAAGCAUUGUCAUUAUCAAAAUAGAAAGAAAAUGUUUUGUAUAUAGCUUUGAAAGUAAAAAGAAAGCAGAGUUUCAAACAAAAGCACAAGCUCAAAUUGAUGUAUAAGAGUGGUGGUCAGCCGAAGGCGUGACUCCACGGAUUCACAAAGCUUGGAAAAUGGUAAUUUUAUUGGUUGGUGGUACAUUGAACACAGUAAUCACUACAUUUCUUAGAAACUUUGAAUCCACAAGUGCAGAAGCUUUUGAUGAAGACGGUCAUUAACAGCUGCAGAUGUCCCAAGGGGGACGGUGGUUGGCCAGAUAUAGUUACUUGCCUUUUGUUUCAAUCUCAUUUUUGCAUGAACCGCCCUUCCGGGUUUUCGGCUCAUCGAGACACUCAUUCUUGCCUGAGUUGUGUACAAUCUCAGCGAGCUUUUCAUAUUUGUUUUUUUUGUCCCUUAUUUUUGCCUGGACCGCCCUUUCGGGUUCUCGAUCCACCGGGAAGCGCAUUUUUGCCUAGGCCGCCCUUUCGGGUUUUCGACCUACCACGCUGUUCUUUUCAUAUUUCUAGGCAAAGUAUUUCUUGACUAUAUCGGCAUUCACUGGAUUUGGAAGCUCUACACCAUCCAUGUGUGUAAGGAUUAAAGCACCACCGGAGAAGGCCUUCUUGACAACAUAAGGACCUUCAUAGUUAGGCGUCCACUUGCCCCUUGGGUCGGGUUGCUGGCUUAUCCUCCCUUUCAAUACAAGUUCCCCUACCUUGAAUUCUCGCGGAUGGACUUUCUUGUCAAAGGCAGUCUUCAUUCUUGCUUGAUAUGACUGUCCACGAGCCAUGGCAUCCAUACGUUUUUCCUCAAUCAAAUUUAACUGAUCAUACCGGUUUUGGCACCAUUCAGCCUCAGAUAACUUUGCUUCCAUAAUCACACGGAGAGAUGGGAUCUCCACUUCCAAAGGAAGAACUGCUUCCAUACCAUAUACAAGAGAGAAAGGGGUUGCCCCGGUUGAACUGCGCACAGUAGUACGGUAGCCAUGCAGAGCAUAGGGUAACAUCUCAUGCCAGUCCUUGUAAGUGGUUACCAUCUUCUGGAUGAUUCUCUUGAUAUUCUUAUUGGCGGCCUCAACUGCACCAUUCAUCUGAGGUCUAUAAGGAGAAGAGUUAUGAUGCUCAAUUUUGAAUUCUUCACAAAGAGCUUGCACCACAUUGUUGUUCAGGUUGGUACCAUUGUCGGUAAUAAUCUUGCUGGGAACACCAUAUCGACAGAUGAUGUUGUUCUUGAUGAACUUAGCUACCACUUGCUUGGUCACAUUAGUAUAAGAUGCUGCUUCAACCCACUUGGUGAAGUAGUCAAUUGCCACUAAGAUGAAACGAUGACCAUUUGAAGCCUUCGGUUCAAUCCUUCCAAUCAUAUCGAUGCCCCACAUUGAGAACGGCCACGGGGAUGACAUAACAUUGAGAGCGUGCGGAGGCACAUGAAUCUUAUUAGCAUAGAUUUGACAUUUGUGACAUUUUCUGGCGUAUUGGUAGCAAUCAUGCUCCAUGGCCAUCCAGUAGUAACCUGCCCGUAGCAACUUUCUUGACAUAGUAUGCCCUGUAGCAUGGGUCCCGAAGGUACCGUCAUGUACAUCAUGCAUUAACUGCUCCGCCUCAUGUUCAUCAACACAUCUUAACAAUACCAUGUCAUAGUUCCUCUUGUACAAAAUAUCUCCAUCUAACAGGAAUCUACCGGCCAAUCUUCUCAAGGUCUUCUUGUCUUGUUUGGAAGCACUCGGCGGAUACUCACGGCUCAGCAAGAACUGUUUGAUGUCGUAGUACCAAGGUCUAUAGUCAACCACAUUUUCACCAGCUUGAUCGAUCACAUCCCCAAUAGCAAACACAUGUGAAGGUCUUUCAAGGCGUUGCACUUUGAUUAAUGGCACAUCAUUCCAAUGGUUUACUCGGAACAUGGAAGAUAGAGUAGCAAGAGCAUCAGCCAUUUGGUUCUCAUCACGAGGAAUAUGAUGCAGCUCAACCUUUGUAAAAUAUGUCAGAAGACGUCUCGCAUAAUCACGAUAAGGAAUCAACUUAGCAUGGUGGGUCUCCCAUUCACCCUUUAUCUGAUUGAUGACGAGCGCAGAAUCUCCAUAGAUGUCGAGGUGUUUGAUUCUCAUGUCAAUUGCUUCCUCGAUCCCGAAGAUACAUGCUUCAUACUCAGCCAUAUUGUUUGUACAUUCGAACAGAAUACGGGCGGUAAAAGGAAUAUGAUGCCCUUGCGGGGAUACAAUGACUGCCCCAAUUCCUUUGCCAUAAGCAUUGACAGCACCAUCAAAGACUAAACCCCACUUGCUAUUGGGAUCUGGACCUUCAUUAAUCAACGGUUCGUCGCAGUCUUUGGAUUUCAAAUACAUGAUCUCUUCAUCAGGGAAAUCGAAUUCAAUUGGUUGGUAAUCAUCAAGAGGUUGAUAAGCAAGGUGAUCGGCAAGAAUGCUGCCUUUGAUUGCCUUUUGAGUUUUGAACACAAUAUCAUAUUCAGACAAAAGCAUCUGCCAGCGUGCGAUCUUCCCAGUAACGGCCGCUUUCUCAAAGAUAUACUUUAUCGGAUCCAUUCUGGAUAUCAACCAAGUUGUAUGAUUCACCAAAUAAUGGCGCAGGCGUUUGGCAGCCCAAGCUAGAGCACAACAAGUCUUUUCAAGCAUUGUAUAUCGAGUUUCACAAUCGGUGAACUUCUUGCUUAGAUAGUAGAUAGCAUGCUCUUUCUUUCCGGUUUCAUCUUGUUGACCAAGUACACAUCCCAUGGAUUCAUCAAAUACUGCCAAAUACAUAAUCAAAGGCCUUCCUUCCACGGGUGGGACAAGGAUAGGUGGUUCCAGCAGGUAAUUCUUGAUGCUAUCAAAAGCUUCUUGGCAUUCAUCAUUCCAUACAACAGGCUGGUUCUUUCUAAGUAGCUUGAAGAUCGGCCCGCAGGUUGCAGUCAUGUGAGAUAUGAAUCGGGAGAUGUAAUUCAAACGUCCCAAGAAACCUCUGACUUGCUUCUCUGUCUGUGGAGCUGGCAUUUCUCGGAUGGCCCGGACUUUAUCAGGAUCGACUUCAAUGCCCUUUUGGCUGACAAUGAAGCCUAAUAACUUUCCGGACCUGACACCGAAUGUACAUUUGUUGGGAUUCAAUCGCAGCUUGUAUUUUCUCAACCUUUCAAACAUCUUUGUUAGAUAUUCAACAUGCUGCUCCUCAUCUGCUGACUUCACAAUCAUGUCAUCCACAUAUACCUCAACUUCUUUGUGAAUCAUGUCAUGAAACAGAGUGGUCAUUCCCCUUUGGUAGGUAGCACCAGCAUUGAUUAGGCCGAACGGCAUCACUUUGUAACAGAAAGUACCCCAUGGAGUGAUAAAAGAUGUCUUUUCUCUAUCUUCAGGAGACAUUUUGAUCUGAUUAUAACCGGAAAAACCGUCCAUGAAGGAGAACACCUUAGAUUGAGCAGUAUUAUCAACAAGCACGUCAAUAUGGGGUAACGGAAAGUUGUCUUUUGGACUGGCUUUGUUCAAGUCCCUGAAAUCAACACACAUCCGGACUUUACCAUCCUUCUUCGGCACAGGCACAAUAUUGGCAACCCAUUCGGGGUACUCAACUGUCAUGAGGAAACCCGCAUCAAUCUGCUUUUGAACUUCAUUCUUAAUCUUGAGGGCCAUAUCAGGAUGAGUCCUCCUCAAUUUCUGCCUGACGGGAGGACAUUCAGGCUUGGUAGGGAUCCGAUGCUCCACGAUCAUAGGGUCUAGACCUGGCAUAUCUUCAUAGGACCAUGCAAAAAUAUCCGGAUAUUCCCGGAGGAGUUGGAUGAUCUUCUGUUUAACCCCUUCCUCUAGAGUAGCACCAAUCUUGAUUUCUCGCUUGUUUUCUUCGGUACCUAUGUUGAUAAGCUCAAUCUCUUCUUGGUGAGGCUGAAUGGCUUUCUUUUCUUGCUCAAGUAACCGAGUGAUCUCAUACGGUAUGUCAUCACCUUCCUCAUCUUCGGCUUCAUAUACAGGGAAAUCAAAACUUGGAGGAACCGUAGGAUUACUGUGUUCAACGGGUUUAUUAUGGUUCAACCUGCAUAUAAUGAUUGGAUGAUUUUAGAAAUAGUUUUUUUUUCAUGCAGAUUUUUGAAAUUAAUAAGAAAAUACAGACGUUUUGGUUUUUUCUGGCAUUACCAUUGUUUCCAAGGGAAAAAGCACUUAAAAAAAGUAGUCGUGGAAGAAACGACAAAAUUUUAUUAAUCAACGGCAAUGCCGAAACAAACAUGCCCUUACAGAAAAUAUCACUCUCGCUUUGGGCAGAGCGAGAGGAUUGUUAUUUUGAAAACAAAGCACUAAAGCAACAAGACACAUUACUCAGAAACAUGCAUGAUUGAAGGAAUGUCAAUGGCAUCCCAAUUCGUCGCAAUGCCUCCUGGUGUAACAAAUAUAGGCCUGAGACCAGAUCCAGUGGCUUCUUCAGAGAUAGCAUUAACAAACCCUGCACUGUGGAAGACUCCCGAGGAAACCCUUGAUGACGGGGAGAACCCGAGACCUUCCUUUCGCUUGUUCUCACAGAGCUGUAUCAUCUUGCCCCAGCCGGCAGUCUGACCUUCUUGGAUGGCUCUCUGAGCAUCCUUCAAUGAAGCCAUAGCAGCCCCAGCUUCCUUAGACUCUGCACCUUCAAUGGUCAAACCUUGGAAAGCAGUCCCUUCAGCAGAUCCUGCUUCAAUACAAGAGAAGGAAGACAACUGGCUGACUAAGUAUGCUUCUUCACCAUGGAUUGUAACGAGUUUUCCAUUCUUCACAAAUUUCAACUUCUGAUGUAAGGUGGAAGUAACCGCACCUGCAUCGUGUAUCCACGGUCUUCCCAGCAGGCAACUGUAGGAUGCAUUAAUGUCCAUCACUUGGAAGGUAACCAAGAAAUUCUCAGGGCCAAUGGUUAUCGGCAAGUCUAUCUCCCCCAGCACGUUCUUUCGAGAUCCGUCAAAAGCUUUGACCAAGAAAGUACUUCUUCUCAAAGGGGUCCCACGGUAGCUCAACUGAUCUAGAGUUGUCUUGGGCAUUACAUUGAGAGAGGAACCGGUAUCCACCAACACAUUUGAUAUCAUGUCUGAUUUACAAUUCACCGAGAUGUGCAAAGCCAGAUUGUGACCCUUUCCCGCUUCCGGCAACUCUUCUUCACUAAACCAGAGGUUGUUACAAGCAGUAAUAUUUCCCACUAUGCCACCGAAACGAUCUACCGUAACUUCGUGGUCAACAUAUGCCUGCUCCAGCACUUUCAACAAGGUAUUCCUGUGAGCCUCAGAGCUCAAGAGUAAUGACAAGACAGAUAUCUUUGAAGGAGUCUGCAGCAACUGAUCAACGAUCUUGUAGUCGCUCCUCUUUAUUAUUCUCAGAAUCUCAUCUAAAUUUGAAUCCUCUAUAGAUUUGCCUGGCUGAUUCACAUCUGUAGCAAUGGGUGAAACAACGGUUGGAGUUGCUUCUUCAACUGGUGGAGUGAUUGGCGUAGCUACCUUCUUCUGAAAUAAUGGCGGACGAACCUUCCCGCUUCUUAGCGCUGCAGAAGUCCCUUCGGCAAUAUUGCUUACUGUGGCAAAGGAGGCUAGAGGUACCUCUACUCCAUUUUCUAUUAUAGUAGCAUUGUACUUAUAUGGCACUGCCUUGUCCGAAGCAUAAGGAAUUGGUCCUGGCAACCUUAUUACCAAAGGCUCAGCAUUCUUCUUCAAAGGUACACUCUUGACAGGCGGAUCGUGAAAAACUGGCACGACCACGCAAACAUCACUGACAGUCAGAAGAUUAUCGUUCAUCGAACUUUGGAUGUCGUCUUGAACAGCAUGGCAACCCAAAGGAUCACGGAGGCAUCCUAGACACUUGGCAUGAUCAUGGCUGAACAGAGAAGCUUUGCACAGCUUGAUAUGUAGAGGCACCAGAGGAGUGACAACAUUGCGGACAUCAAGUCUAGGAGCUUCCUCACACACUUCGAUCAUAUUCACAGCGGCAUGAUUUGGUAGCGGAUUGUCAAGGACAUGUGGAACAUUAUUCUCAAAAGUCAGCUUUCCCUGAUCAAUGAGCUUCUUCACGAUAUACUUCAAAGCAUAACACCCCUCGACAUCAUGACCUAAGGCACCUUGAUGAAAGUCACAUUUGAGAUCAGACCUGAACCUUGGAGGCAACGGAUCAGGUGGUGGCUUGCCCUGUCUAGUCGUACAAUGACCUCUCUGGAGUAAAGUCGGAAGAAGUUCUGCAUACAACAUCGGUAUAGGAGGAAAAGUUGGUCUAGUAUACUGCUGCUGCUGCUGUUGUUGUUGUUGUUGAACCGGCAACUGUUGUUUUAUCUGUUGGGCAAUUGCAUUGACGGGCACUUGAGGCUGGCCCGGUGGCAAAGGGUACUGAUGAUAAAACGGUGGGAAGAACGAAUGCUGAGAAUACGGCAUAUAUGGGUAUGACGGAGGCAUUUGAGCUGUAUUGAUAGGAGCAACGGUAGCUAUAGAUUGACCGGCUCCAGCUGACACCAUCCCCACUUCCGUUUCUUUCUUCUUGUGGUGUCCAUUACCAUAUCUCUUCGAUGCACCCACAGAGGAUUCAGCUUUCUCAAACACAAUGAUUCCAUCCCUGACUGCUUCCUCAAGACGGGUUCCCAUAGUGACCAUCUCCGAAAAGUUGUUCGGGGCAGCGAUGAUCAUCCUCUCAACAUAAUCUUUCUUCAAGGUCUUUAAGAAUGUCUGGGUCAUUUCUUCUUCAUCUAAAGCAGGAGUAAUACGGGCAGCUGCCCCUCUCCACCUUUGCGCAUAUUCACGGAAACUUUCCUCCUUUUUCUGAGAUAGGGACCUGAGAAACUCCCUAUUCGGCUUCAAUCGAGUGUUAAACCCGUAGUGGCUCCUGAAAGCGGUGGCCAGCUCAUCAAAAGUAUGGACAUCGUCUUUGCUCAGACUAGUAUACCACUCUGCAGCAUCCUCCAUCAGACUGUCUUGGAAGUAAUGGAUCAUAAGGGAAUCAUUGUCCUUGUAGUUGCCCAUUUUCCGGACGUAUUUGACAAUAUGAUUUUGAGGACAAGUCAGCCCGUUAUACUUGUCGAACUCCGGGACUUUGAACUUUUUUGGAACAUCUACCUUCGAUACUAAGCAGAGGUCCUGGGUUUUAAUGGAGUCUCCGUUUCCCCUGUUGGCCUUAAUUUCCCGUUGGAGCUCUUUGGCAAGUUCUUCCAUUCUCUCUUCCAUAGUUCCGGUUGUGGCAAUACUCCCGUGGUGCGCAUUAGCAUGGACAAAUAGAGGCACCGCAUUCACAAUGGGCUCGGUAACAGUUGUUGCAGCUUGAGUCAAGGCAGUACUAACAGGAGUUAAGUUUGCCCCUGGGAUUGGGCCAUUGUUGGUAGUACCAGAGGUCCCUGCCCCUGUAUUAGCAGUAUAGUACAGCGGAAGUCCGUAAGGAUACCCGGAUGGCAUGAUAGAGCGGGGAUCAGUUGUUACGGUAGGAGUCACAUUUGCAGCUGUAGAAACUACGGGAACUGGUUGUUCCUGAGCAGCCAACAGAGCAGUCAUAGCAUCAUGAGCUUUGGCCAAUUCCUCCCUUAAAGAUGCCAAUUCGGUACGGAGCUGUGUGUUCUCUUCUUCCAUAGCCCUUUUCUUUCUUCUGUAUUCUCUGGUUCGAUCAAUUCUAUCAGGUUCGUAAACUCUCUGAGCACGAGCCACUUUUCACACUAAGGCAGAGAAACCAGGAGGUGGUAAGCACUCGGAAGCCUUUGUGACCGAUGCAUGAUGCAUAUGAUGCAUGAUAUGCAAAUGCAAAUGCGAAAGACUUAUUUUUUUCAUCGAAGGAUUUUUAAACAAAUUGGAAAUUUUGCAAAUAAUCAAAACUACAUAGCAUUUUCAAAAGGAAGACUUUGAAAUUUCAACAAGAUAAACAAAUGAAGCCCUCAAGCAUAAGAAGUAGUCGGAAGAUCAUCGGACUCGGAAUCUGAAUCACAGUAUCUAUCAAAGAAGUCUCGUCGUCCUCGAGCUCUCUUGGAGUCCCUCAUAAGCAGCUCAUCUUUCUCUUCCAAUUCCUUCCGGGCCUUAGCUAACUCUUUCUUCAACAUUAGAUUCUCAUGAGUCUUCUGCUCAUCUCUACCAUCCAAAGUCAUGAUUAGAUUCUCGGCUUGAUUGUACCGAGCUUUCCACACUUGCUUCUCACGACUCUCCAUAGCUAGAUGCUCCUGAUACAUAUCCUAAGUCGCGGGGAGCAAAGGUAGAGGCAUAGACGGGGUAGACGAAGACACGUAUCUCAUAGCUGGAUAAGGCAUACCAAUCUCCUCAGCUCGAUCUAUCACCCACUGAGUAUAGGCCUCAUGAGCAACACCGGAUCUCACACCUAGAUGCUUCACACUCUUCCUUCGAACCUUGGACCAAGCAUCCAUGAAAGCUUUCCUUUGUCCAGUAGGAGCACUCGUGUAGAAGAAGAACUCUGGAGAUGUAGCAAGAUUGAUGGGCUUCGACUUCAUAGGGAAACCAAACUGUCUCAUAGCAAGCUCGGGAUUGUAGUUAAUUCCUCCCCGAGUACCAAGAAGAGGUACAUUGAGAAAGUCUCCACAACCCAUAAUGAUUUCCUUCACUUGAGCGGCAGGAGUGAGCCAGACGACCUCAUUAGGAGUGAGGGCCAUAAUCCGCUGAGAGUAGGACCAAUUUUCCGAGUUAUCAUGGAAGGAACUCGGAAGGUGCGAAAUAAACCACCUAUACAAAAGAGAUAUGCAGCAAAGAAUAUACCCACGGCCCUUGAGAGUCCUGUCAUGAAUGGCGUGGUAGGCAUCCGCUAGCAAAGUAGGAACCGGGUUCUUGGAAUGAAAGAUCUCGAUAGCAUUCAUGUCCACGAAGUUGUCGAGGUUUGGAAAGAGAAUGAGCCCGUAGAUAAGCAAAGCAAGAAUAGCCUCGAGUGUAUCCUGACGAGUAGUACUGAGAUUAGCCUGAUCAAGAAGAUACUUUGAAGUGAACCCCCGGAUGUGAGACUUGGUAAUAAGAUGGUUGGAGACGUCGGAAGUCUUGAGGUAGAGAUCCUUAGCAAUAACCAGAGGAGUAAGAGAAGUCCCGGGACCGGUGAAAGGCGUCUUCUCGGCUAUAGGUAAACCCACUAGAUUGGAGUAAGCCUCGAGAGUAGGAACCAACUGGAAGUCCGGGAAGGUGAAGCAACGGAAGCUUGGAUCAUAAAAUUGCACUAGAGUGUGCACUAGCUUCUCGUCCACAUCGGUUCGGAGCAAAGUAAGCAAUCCCCCAUACCGGAGUCGGAACCCUGUUUGACUCUUGACCUUGAGUGCCAACUCUCUUAAACUGACCAAAUCCACUUCCUUGAACUUGUAGCACUUAGUCUUCUUCAUACCUGUGAUUAUUUACAAAAUAUUCCAUUUGUUUAGGCCCUUCGAUGAAUGCAUGAAAAAUGUUUAUGCAUGAAUGCAUGUAUGCAUGAUUGUGUUGUUUAGUUACAAAGAACAAGAUGGGUUGAGAUUCAAAGUAACAGGGCUACGGCUGGACACGGCGUCCGGUGAACUAAGGCUUUGGAUAGUAGUAACCAAGGUUCUAACACAGUUCCCAAACUGCAACCUCUCUCACAUAUAUCAUGGUAGUACAGGACGACACCCGUUCCAUGAUUAUUUGUGAGAAGGUCUAGUUUGAGUGUAGUAUCGCGUGACGACUAAAGUUUGAGACAACACUCAAUUUAGCCACCGCACUACGUCCUAAAAAGGCUAGGAUGGGUUUGGUAACUACGGUUCAUAGCUUCGUCGAACAAUUGAAAGUGAAGUGCCUAAGCAUGACAACACACGCCGACAAUAUCACCUUCAAAAUGCCUCAGCUAUGUGAGAUUGAUCGCAUAAUCCAAUACACGAGGCAACCCCCGGAUCGAAUUGUCGAUUAUAUCUCUACCUAAACAUAAGUUCACUCAGCCCGGGUAUAGGACUUUUGAUAUUCUCACCCCCCCCGUCAAAUGAAAGUAAACAAGUAUUCACAUAUGUAAGCAAUAAAACAAAGCGUAAAUAAACUAAGGAAAACUAGGCGUGACCCGCUAAAAAAAUCCCCAGUGAAGUCGCCAUUUCUGUUAUCAUGGUUUUUGGGUGCCAAGCCAUUAAUUAGACUUGUACCUUUCGACCGUUGAUAUCUCUAUUUUUUCUUGGGAAGGGCAAAAUUGAGAAAAAACCCUUAGAUUCUAAGUUCGGGGGCCGGUUUUACUACGGGAAGGUGUUAGGCACCCGGAGUAACUAUAGUCCUCUAUAGGAGCCGUUUUCCUAAGUCUAUAUUCACGCUUAUUUUUACUUACUUUUGAAAAUGGGAGGUUUAUUUAGUUAAGAAUGGGGGGGAGAGAUUGUAAGACUUUGAUUUUAUUUCGGCUUGGAUGAGUUUUGACUCAUUGCCUACGUACCGUUUUACAGGAUCAAAACCGGCGUAGUUCUUGCUAAAAAGACUUGUUUUUCUUUUGUUUUAAUUGUUUGAUUUUAAGUUUUGAAAAAAAGGUUUUGAAGAAGGAGAUUGGGAGGCUUCAUGAGCAUUAGAUUUUAGCAAAAGGUGAAGUUUGAUUAGUGAUUAGAAAAAAAGUCUAAAUGAUUAAGAUGAAUUGAAUUUUCCUUAAGAGAAAAAAAAAAAGAAAGGAAAAAAAAAAAUGAAGUGUUGACUUCAUACUUAUUAUGAAAAUUUUUGAAGUGAAGUUCAAUUGUUUUUUUUGGAAAAAAGAUGGAUUUUCUCUAAGUGUUUAAAACCUAAACGCUUAUUUAACCAUACAAUCCUAUGCAUACAUCUAAGGUGAGUGUGUGCGUGUCGGUGCAUCAUAGUGUCCAUAGUCCAUAUUACAAAAAUUGCCUAAAUACAUUCUAUGGCCCCUUUGCCAAGCUACAAACCAAUGAUAACAAAUUACAUUACCAAAUGAAUUAAAACUUGCAAAAGAUAAAGGCUAGGCUAAAGAAAGUGGAGGGAAUGCUAAAUGGGAUGCAUGAAACAUGGAAAUAAACUUGUUAGUGAAAAGAAAAAACAUAACAAGUACUAAGAAAUAAAAGCAUGCAAGAUGGCACAAAAAGUUAACAAAAUGACAUUAAACCCUAAAAACUUAGGUAUGAAACCUAAAGCAUUCUUGGCCUCUAAUUCUCAUGCUUUAACAAAUUUUGAAAGAGUUUUCUUUAUCUCAAGUUAUAGCAUAGAAUUAUUGGAAACAUGCAAACAUGGUUUCAUGCCACAUUUUCUAGAAUAAACUUGGCAUUUUAUAUCUUUCAAAAUAUGCAUAUAUUGUUCAUAAAAUCAAGCACUCAUGAACCAAAUCAAAACAGCAAAUCAACAUGAAAUUAUUGGCACAAAUCUCUCAUAUUAACACGUCAAGUAGCUUUUAUUUCAUAUUCUCACAUCAAGGACAAAUGUGUGAAGAAGAAUCCAUAACAAAUAAUUCAAAGAGAAUUAAAAUGCUAUGAAUUAAUUAUACAAAAAUUUCAUAGAUCCUUAAUGUUCAAAAAUGUCAUAAAAACACUAAGAAAAUAUCAAGAAACAUGUGAUAAUUUUUUGGAGGUUUUUUGGAGAAAAUUUUAAGCAUGCAGGGGUUCAAACAGCAAAGAAAUAUGGUGCAAAUAGCAGGAAAACAAACAAAAACGUAAAAGAACAAAGCCCAAACCAAAGGCCCAAUACACUAGAAGAUCCGGUUGCACAGGAACCAUACGAUUGAUCCAGGAUUCUGAAACCCUAGAUCAGACGGCCAGGAAUCAAAGGGGGAAUGGACCGGACUGGACCGGUCCGGUUCGCUGGCUUAUAAAAAGGAAGGAGCUCCGGUUUAUUUCAUUUUGCUGCUCUCAUUCUCUCUCUAACUCUUCUCUCUUCUCUCAUCUCUCAUCUCUCACUAACUUCGCCGCCGGCGAGGAUGAAGCUACGGCGGAGACCUUGAAGGUCCGCCGGAAACUUCAUCUUCUCCGGCGAGUUCAUGCAGUUUCCGGUGACCUAAAUUUCCAGAUUUCAAAGAUUCUUACUCCAUUUGAUUCGUCCUUUAACCCUAAACACGAAUCCAGCAGUUGUUUUUUCAAAUUCAAGUCGAAACGAUGUAGAUCUGGAAAUUUGCCGUACGGCUUUGAAUUUGAUUUUGAUUUUUUGAAAGAUAACGUUUAGAUCCUUGAAGAUCUACAUCAUUUCGUUGUUUAACACCUCUUUGAUGUUUGUUCUUGCUUUCAAAACUUAGAUCCUUAUGGAUCUAGGUUUUGUGUUUACGGUUACGGUUUUGGCUUUGAAUUCUGGAAAUUUGGAUCUGUUUUGCUUGCGUGAUUUUUAGGUUUAACAGUGAUAUUGCUUUUGAAAAAGAUUAUGAGUUUUACCUAAGGUUUUGGUUGAAACCUUUAAUGGAGAAAUUCUUUGGAAAACUUCAAUCUCUGAUGCUACGUGAUUUGGCUUUGAAUCCGGAAAUAAACCGGUGUUCCUGCUGGUUUCUUGCUUUAUCGUCUUCUUCGCCGGUUUAAACCUUCAUUAUCUUUCUUUCUUCUUCGUCUUCCUCACUGUAUCUUCGUGAUCGGUGCUGGAGUUUGCCUUUGGCGAAUUCGCACCUUGAAUUGCGAAGAUACUGAUUCAAUGAUGAUGAUUCUUCAAAGAAUCACUGAGAAUCCAUGAAAAAUAGCUUGAAUUUGUGUAGUUUCUGUUUCUGGAAAAGGUUAGGUUUACGCCAUUGAUGAAUGUUGAAGCUUUUUCUGUUUUGAUUUGUAACUGACAAGAGAGAGUGUGACUCUGUGUUUAUGAGUUGGCACCUGAUGAAUGGCUUUGAGUGGCACUGUGCACCUUUUAUAGCAUGACAUGUGUGCCUCUGAACAAAUGAGAAAGUGACACCUGGACCUGGAAAAAAAAAUGACACGGCCUUGGACAAAAAAUCAAAUUUGGACCUUCUUGCAAAAAACAAAACUUAAGGACUAAACUGCAAUUGACCAAAAAAGGACUAAAAUGAAAAUUGGAAGAGAAACUGGACUGAAAUGUAAUUUUGGGACCUCAAUUGAGGGACCAAAAUGUAAUAAAAAAUAAAAUUGAAUAAAACGUAAUUUGACCAAACGUAAAGCGAAACAAAAAUAAAAUUGACAAAACGGACUAAAACGAACCAAUGGCCUAAAUGAGGUACUUCAAAGUAACCUCCCCAUGCCAAAAUUUUAUGCGAAAUGACCAAAAUGCCCCUAGGGCUAAAAAUGACCUAAACAGAGCCAAAAUGACUCGACACUGACUCAGAUGCAAGUUUGAAAUGAAAUUAGCAAGGUUUACUGAUGGAAAGUUAAAAAUGAAUUUGAAAAGACCCAGAGACAGUCACAAGGAUGAAAAUGGGUCCCACUGCAGGAAAUGACCAAAAUACCCUUCUGUAUGACUUUUUUUGCAAAUUUUGAAAUAAACUGUAGAAAAAGCAAUGUAAUGAUUCAGAGACACUUUUGAAUGACUUACAAGACAAGUAAAGACAUUUCGAAAGGUUUUAUGCAAGAAAAACAUAGGUAAAAUUGUGAUUGAAAAUACUGCGAGGCAGAGACAAUUUGAACUGUGCAGUUGAAAUUUGAUAAUUGACAAAGUUUAAAAAUGAAAUUGGGCCCAGUAUUUUUAGGUCCAAAAACAGGGUAUAACAAGGAUGAAGUAAAUGAACAAUGUCAGCUUAUAAUUCUGUAGUGUCAUUUUUUCUAUUUAUAAUGAGUUUUUACUACUAUUAUUAUUUGUAAUAAAUCUUUUCUAAAAAACUUUGUAUAAUUUACUUUAUUUAUGAAUUACAAUAUUUACUAUUUUUUGGGUGUUUUUAUUUUAUAUGAAGGAAUCAUUAGAAAUAGACAUGUAGUUAUUAUUUGGUUGUGGGUUUGUUUGGUCACUCAACUUUGUUCGCAUGAAUUUUGAUCUUAAUCUCGAUGCUAUCGAGUCACCUUUAAAAUGAGAAACCUAAUCAACAAUAUUUGUAGGUGGUUUUGUCAACGUUAUUUUACCAUGCAAUUUUUUUUUUCUCCUAUGAAGAAGACUCUAUUUACAUGUUUAUCUAAUCUCACUAAAACAAUAUUGAAGCCCAUUGCAUAAAAUAUUAACUUCUUUUUUCCAAUUCUCACUUGAUGGUUACAUGUGGCGUUAAGAUUGAUACGAUAAUUUUAUCUUGAAUCACAUUCAAACAGAUGGGUCUAAAGACCACGUUGUUUUCAAUUUUUUUGUUGCCAAGAAUACUAUUGAGGAGGUCAUUAUGAACACGGAAGCACCCUACUCCAUAAAUCUAAUGUAUGGCAUCCUUACGGUGGCUUCAUUCCUUCUAAGUGACUUCAUUCCUUCUAAUGAGUGGUGAGAUAUAGUAUAUUGUCAUAAUAAGAUCGAACAUAUGGAAGUGACUUUCAGAUUGUGACUUGGCUUGCACGUUACGCACAUUUAAACAGACAAAGAUGAAGACAUCUUCAAUCAUUUUUAUUGUAAAAAACUAUACACACAUACUCUUUAGAUAUUAUUUGAUCAUUUGUAUCGUGUUAUUCUAGUUGGAAUGAUUUAUAUAAUCGGUUAUAUGCCAGUGUUGGAUGCAUAUCAUGUUUGACACUAACAAAAUAUGUAUUUUGCGUAUUUUGCUAGUGAAUUGAUGAGUAAUUUUCUUUUUCAAAUGACGAGGUGAUGAUAUGGGGUGCUACGUGUAUGAGAAUAUGAGAUUCUACAAGUGGAUGGAUGUAUAUGACUUAUGACUUGUUUUACUUUUUGAAAAAGAAUAUGGAUUUUGAAUAAUUUAGAUUGUAUUGGGUAGUUUGCAUAUGGUAUUUGUGUAGUUUGGAUGUGUACACCAAAUUACUUGUUCUAGAAAAUGAGUGAAAUAUUACGUUUGAAUCUUAAUAAUAUACAAAUGUGAAGCUACAAAUAGGAAAAAAAUUUUGCCCCAAUCCAAUGUGUCAAAAUUCUAAGCCUCCUACAAUAAAUCAUCAUAUUUUAUAAUCUCAUUUUACCAUCACUUAUAGUAAUAGGGACAACAAAACCAUAACAAUUUCAAAUUUACACAAUAAAAAUAACAUCAAAAUUCAUUUUAGUUCAUAAAAAAUUGAAUGUGUUAAUUUCCCUCUAAGAAAUGUCAUUUUCAAGUGUGUUAUUAAGAAAAAAACAAAUGUUCAAUUUGAAAUGAGGCCCAACUAUGCUAAGCCCAGCACUCAAACUCUCCUCAUUUUCAGAAUCAUUCAAUGCAAAGCAACAGAAAGGGAAAGCUUUCCCUGCCAUCACUGUUUUCACGUUGGAAAAUCUCUCUUUCACGUUGGAGUGGACUUGAGAGAUUUGUUUGUUUGUUUGUUUGAUGAAUUUUCCAUAAAUAUACUUAGGCUACUGCAACUAUUCCAUCAAAUUUAGUACUUAUAUUUUCUUCAUUUUUCUUUUGCUUUAUAGCUCUACCUUGCCACCAUUUUGAGAAGAGUAAUCUGAAAUUGAGAAGAGGAAAGUAAAGGUUGACAUUAAUGUGCUUUGUUUUCAACCUCAUUGGCCUUUCUUUACACAAUGUGAGUGGAUAUCUUCCUAUAAACUUUUAAAUUUUAUUUUUCAUUAGAGGCUCUUCCUAUCCUAAGUUUUUAUUGAAUGUUUUUCAUUUUGUAUUUCUCUCUGUUUCAUUGAUUUCAUGAACAGCUCCACUGCGUCGGAGCAAUCGACACCAUCUCUUUGAAACUGUUUCCCCAUCAUCAUGAGUAAGUAUUCAUCCUUCAUAUUUUGUGCUCAAGUUCUUUAUCUGAUUUGUUGUGUUUUUUUCUUAGAAGUUGUGAAGUUGUUUGUUGUAUCAACUAGAAACAUUUAUCAGUUUUGAUAUAAUGUAACUAAAUUUUGUGAUUGAAAAUAGAAAUUGAAAUUCCAUUUGUGCUAAAGUUCUUUAUCUGGUUUGUAAUCUUGGGAUAUAACUACAGAAACAUUUGGAAUUUUUUGAUUUUUUCUUGAUAAUUUGGAUUGAUUUCUUUUGAUUGUUUAUGGAAGUUUUUGUUUGAGCAUGACAUGUGGCUUCUGUCACGAUUUUGGAGCAUCUGCAAGUUAACAUAUAGAUUUAUACUGAGGGCCUCUGUAAAUUGUAAGUCUUUUGAUUACUUUGUGUCUGUUUCGAGUUCUAAUUGUCAAUGUUAUAACUUAUAGGUUCAUUUAUCUAUUGAAGCAUCUUAGGCAUGUUUUGAUGUCCUUGUUUUUUGGCUGUUUCGGUUCUAUGAACUAAGGAAAGAUCCUAUCUGUAGUUCUCAUUAAGCCUUUAUUGCAACUCAUGUGAUGGAUAUGUAUACUUCAUUAUACCUUCGGAGUCACUAGAGCAACUUAAAUAUAGAUAUUUUGUUGUAUCCCUAGAGCAAUUAAAAGUAUCAUCUUGCUUAUUUGCUAUGAUCAAUGAAAUAUAUUAGCAUGAUACGUACAAGUAAUUAGAUACUUUUAGUAGAUCAUCGUCAUUUUUAAACUUAAAAUUAGAUUGAUGGGAUAGAACAAAAUAACUAUUGGUUUGUGGACAAUCAACCCAUGGGGAUCAAUGGAAGGUUACAAAGCUGAAACAGUAUGUAAGGGUGGAUUUGAGUUCACUAUGAUACGAAAUUGCAACUGUUAUGAUGGGGUACAUGAAUAAGAACCGGUUUUCUUACAUGCAACUGCAACUGUUAUUUUUUUUAGUCUGAAUAUGUCCUUUGCAAUCUUUUUUAGUGAAGUCUUAUAUAAAUCGGGACAUUAGAUACACUUUGUUUAUGGUCAAAUAUGUACAGGCAUACUUAAUUUGAUGUUAGGGUUGUGAAAAGAUUUGAUAGACUGUAAUGUUGGCAUUUACUAUUAGUAGGAUGUUUAAUUUAUUUAUUUUGGACAAAAUUAAUGGUUGUAUAAUGUUGGCACUUGCCAAAUAGUUAUUUGUCGAAUAUUUAAGAAUUGAAUUCAACCUAUCAAAUAACAAAUGAUAACACAUUUUCGAUGACUAAGUUUUCUUUUCCAAUCACGUUAAUAAUUAAUAUUCUUUUUAGACAAUUAUUCAUUAUAUUAGUAUAAAAUUAUUUGAGUAAAGUUUUAUCACCCGUGCUGUUUUAUAUCAUGAUACAAAUAAUUCAUGAUAUGGUUGUAUCAGUUCCUAAAUAUCGGAACAAUUUAAUUUUUGAAUUGACUGCACCGUAACUAUAAUUUCAUAGUAUUGAAGCACUUUGAAACACUGCAGUUUUAAAACUAUUGUGCCCAAACAUGUGCAGGAUUGAUGGCUCCUAUCUCCAGUUAGUGAGAAAUUGGUUUUGAAGUUUGUAGGGUUGAUGGUUAGUGAGACUGGAGGAUAUAAAACAACAUGUUUGUACCGAUGGUUGAUGCUUUCAUGUCUUACUUCAAUAGGGGUAGGACAUUACUUUAAUAACCAAGUAUAUGGAUUUAAAUGGAGUUGUAUGGUUCAUAUUAACUACAAAGACUAUGAUUCAAAUCUGGGAGACUAUAUGUAUUAGAUUUAAUAUCAAAGUCUUAUAUUCCUCAAACAUGGGGCUAUAGAUAUUUAAUUUAUGUUUCUAUUGAUAAUGAAGGUACAAUCAUGUUGAUUUUAACAUUUGUAUUCAAUAUAUUGGAUAUAUUUUUAUUCAUUUAAAUUAUUGAUGAAAUAUAUUAUAUAUAUUAAGUUUUAUACAUUAUGCAUUGAGAAUCAACAUUUGCUUAUUACAAUAAGACAAAUUUUUGUGAUGACAACAACAUUUGAUUUGUCUAAGAAGUGCAUUAUAUGUUUUUAUUUUGAUUGUACGUUCAGAGUAAUAUUUUUUUAACGCCACAAUAAAUCCUUUUUCGCCCGUGCGUUGCACGGGUGGAAAUACUAGUAUACAACAGUUGAGUGGAAUAAAAUGAAAUGCAAUUGGUGUGUAUGUACAAUUUUGAUGGUAAGGAUGAAUGGUUAUUUAAUAUGUUGAGGUGAAAGUUUGAAUACGUAAUGUUUUAUUUCUGUUGAUUUUACUUUACAUUUAUUGUUAUAUUUUUAUAUUUGAAUAUAAAUACAAGAUUGACACUUUUAUAUAUAUAUAUAUAUAUAUAUAUAUAUAUAUAUAUAUAUAUAUAUAUAUUAUUUUUGAGAGAAACAUCUAUAUUAUUGUUAAAUUUCACAAAAUAAUUCAUCAAUUUGCUUGCCUGGUUUAACAACAAUCGGAAAUAUUAUUUGCGAGUAUCUAAUAGGUUCAAAUCCAAUUGAUAUCCCUAGUUAAAAAGGAAUUUAGAAGUGAACUUUAGACCAUUUCAAUGAUUACUCUUUUGGCUUUUCUUUGCUUGUAAUGAGAGUAACAUCACCUUUUCUUCAAACUAUUUGAUCUUCACAUAAAGCCUCUACCACCUCCACAUAUAGUAUGUGUUACUGAAUUUAGAAGCAAAUCAUGCUUUAUACACCUUCAUACCAUAGAAGCCCUCGUCAUCGAAAGCGGGAAGAAAUGAAGGGUGUUUGAUGUAGAGUUUUUAUUUUUUAUAAGCUUGGAUGGAUCAACUCCAUUGGUAUGAGUUUGAGCUAGAAGAAUAAAAUCAUUUGCAUAAUUUAGAAAUUAAUCCCAUAAAUUAUAACCACAUACAUAUUUAGCAAAUCAACAUUCUUUUAUCCCUGUUUGCCAAUUUUCUAUAUUUUUUAUUGAAAAAUAAAAGUUUAGGUGAGUUGUGUCUCGGUCUGAAAGCCAUUUACUAAAUAUGUUAUAGUUAAACUAUCCGCCAAAAGGGAAGGUUAUGUUAAAAUUGUAUCUUUGUUUGUUAUAAUUAGAUAGCUUGGAGAACAAGUUACUUUGCAACUCCAUAGAAUCUUACUAUACACUAGCUGCAUCUAAUCUUAAUUCACUAGAAAGUUUGUUAGGAUCUUAAACAGCUAUAUAUAGCUUGCUGUAACCGUUUUCUUCUCAAUUCUAUGAAUCUAGCUUUUAUCUCAAUUUUCUCUCCUUCUUCUUUGUUAAGCUUCUGCAUUUCUUCAACUUUCACCAUGGAUAUGGUGAAGUUUAACAUGGUAUCAGAGCUCUUUUGAGCUCUGCUGCGCAUCGUUCUUCCUUCGUUUCUUCUUCUUCUUCGUUUUACGAUGGUUCGUGGAAACGCCGCCACUAACGGUGGUGCAAAUGGAGGAGCUAUGAUUCCUCCACCUCUUGAUCCUUCGCAACAACCUGGUAACGUGUAUUACGUUCAUUCUUCCGAUGGUCCUUCCUCUGUCAUUGUUACUCCGGUAUUGAACAACUCAAAUUAUCACUCUUGGGCGCGUUCAAUGAGAAGAGCUUUAGGAGGAAAGAACAAGUUUGAUUUUGUGGAUGGAUCAAUUCCAGUUCCUAUGGAAUUUGAUCCAAGUUUCAAAGCAUGGAAUCGUUGUAACAUGCUUGUGCAUUCAUGGAUCAUGAAUUCUGUUGAAGAUUCUAUUGCACAGAGUAUUGUGUUUCUUGAGAACGCCAUGGAUGUAACACCCCGUUUUCCCAAUAUACAAAUUUCUUAAACAUUUAUCAGAGUAAAAACCAUAAACGGGAUAUCACAUAGAAACGUAAUCCAAAAGCAGUUAAAUAAUAAUUUAACUUCCACAUAAUAUCUUAAUAUAGCAGCGGAAUAUUAGUUCAGAAGUCAUAAAUCAAUUUGGCACGCAGGCCCCAACAAAGUAUCUCAAAAGAGUUAAUCAAAACAGAAAUUAUCAUAGCAGUUCACGUAAAAGAAUGAAGCAUGUUAUAGCAUAUAACCCCAUCCCGUUAUGUAUCAGAGCGACCUAGACAACACAGUGAAGGCAAGGCCAACUCACGAAAGCAAACUGCACACUAAGCACGAUCACCUGCAAGUUACCCAUACGAAGGGCAACAUUUUCAAGCAGAAGGGGUGAGAUUUCAUAAUCAAAUAACAUUAAUCAAUGUAAUUGCGAAUCAUAAAUUAACAUCAUAAUCAUUCCUUAAAUAACAUUGCAUAAUUGCUAAACAGUUAUAACAUAAUCAUAUAUCCAAUUAUCAUGAACAACAUAACAUAUUCGAUAACCACUUAUCACAUAAUCACGUAAUCAAUCAUUAUCAACAAGGCAUCUUAAUCAUGACAAUGCGACAAUGCUCUUAGACUCCUUAUAUGCAUGUGGUACCAAUCGUCAUCAUAAGUAUUAAUAUACUUUAAUCGUGCGGAGGACAAAGCUCCUAUAAAACGUGCGGGGGACAAAGCUCCUAAUAUUCGUGGUGAGGACUAAGCUCAAUGAGAUGCUAUGCAUGGACACUUAUGAACAAAACAUCGUAAUCAACAUAUCAACAUGCAUCCAAUAAUUUGGAGCUAACUUCAUCAUAUACUUAUACACUUAGUUAAAUAACGGAAGCAGCAUAAACAGGUCACAUAAACGAGAUGAUAUUAUUAUAUCAAUAGCACAUAAAUUGCAUCAUUAUCAAGCUUUCAUAUCUUGCAUGAAUAUACAAUACAUUAGUUCAUGUCCAAUUAAUAUCAACAUAACUUAAACAACUCUACAGACUGCAUUAAACGUCAUCAUUAGGUCUUAAUGCCAAUUAGGGGUUCGCUCUUGAUCCACACGUGCGACACAGAUCGUACAAACACUCAAACAAACUACAUCCUGGGCUAGCUCGCGAGACGAAAGUUCUCACUCGCCAUGGCGAGUACCACUCAUCUCCCAAACUAAUGUUGUUCUGGGUUCCCUCUGAUCCUACAUUCAUUCCCAAUCAAUACUAGGUAUGUUCAGGCACUCAAAGGCACUCAAGGUCCAACUAAAAAGGUCGGAACACAAAAUCUAACAUGCACUCUGCCUAAGCUCGCGAGGCGAGGAAGGGUUGCUCGCAAUGGCGAGCUGCAUCACACAACUCGCGAGGCGAAGGGCGUUGCUCGCCAUGGCGAGUUGCACCAAAAAACUCGCGAGGCGAAGGGAAAGGGCUCGCGUGGCGAGCGAUGAAGUUCAUCACUCGCGAGGCGAGGAUCAUCCCUCGUCGUGGCGAGCGAUGAAUAGAAGCACGGGCAGACUACGGGUUUUCUCGAAAAUCCAACAAACAACAUGGUUCAAAGCCUAAUUUUGAUUCCAUAAUCCAUCCUAAACAUGUUCUAAGGUUAAAGGACGGUUUCUACAUCAAUCUAAACAAGUUUUACCGUUUGAUCAUCAAUUUUUAGGGUUUUGACCUAAUUUCCAAACUUUUCUAAAUCAAUCCUAACUUUGUCAUUUAAUCAUCAGAAUUACAGCAAUCAACGUUAUUGAAUUAUUAGUCUCACCCUUACCUUGUUUGAAGAAAAUCGCAGCACUCUUCCUUGGUUUCUCUAGACUUGGCUUUUUCUCCCUUUUUCUCCAAAACAGUCGUACGUACAAUGUUUUUCUAAAACUAGGUCUAACCUUUAUAUACCUCUUCUUAAUUACUUAUUUUAUCUCACUUUCUCCCCCAAAACUAUCUAAAAUAUCAAAACAGCCCUCAACUAAAUAUUUUAUAUUAUUUUCAAAUCUUUAUUUUAUUUAACAAUAAAAUAAAUCCCUUAAUCUUAUCAAAUCUUCCAAAACUCAUAACUUAUCACGUCAUCCAUCAAAUCACCAAAAUCAUCGCAAAUCAUCAAAACAUAUCAAAAUCAUGCAUAUAUUAUAUAAAUAUAAUAUAAUCGCCUAAACUCGAUUAAAUAAGCAAUUAACAAAAGUGGGCGUUACAAUGCAUGUUUGGAAUGAACUCAAGGAACGGUUUUCUCAAGGUGAUUACAUUCGUAUUUCUGAAUUACAAUGCGAAAUCUUUGGAUUGAAGCAAGAUUCGCGUUCAGUUUCUGAGUUUUUCACUACAUUGAAGGUUCUAUGGGAAGAACUUGAAGCAUAUCUUCCCACUCCGGUUUGUGCUUGUCCCCAUCGUUGUACGUGUAAUACUGGUGUGCUUAAUGCUAAGCAUCAGCAUGAGAUUACACGCUCUAUCAGAUUCCUCACUGGUCUCAAUGAUCAAUUUGAUCUUGUACGUUCUCAAAUCUUGUUGAUGAACCCUUUACCAACUCUCAACAAGAUUUUUUCAAUGGUAUUGCAGCAUGAAAGACAAUUUAGAGUUUCUAUUCCUGUUGAUGAGUCAAAAAUCCUUAUCAAUUCAGUGAAUAAGUUUCAAGGGCGAGGACGUGGUAAUGGAAGUACUUCUGGUGGUGCAAAGCGUUCUUGUUCCUUUUGUGGACGAAGUAAUCAUACUGUUGAUACUUGCUAUAAGAAGCAUGGUUUCCCUCCAAAUUAUGGUAAGAAUUUUGCUAAUGCUAACAAUUCCUCCCUUGAGAUGCAUGAAGAAAGGGAGGAUCUUGAUGAUUCAAAAAGCUGCAAAGGAAGUGAUUCUUUUAGCAUGACAAAAGAGCAAUAUGAACAUCUGGUUAAUCUUCUUCAAACUCAACAAAGUUCUUCUAGGAGCAAGGUGAACCAUGUCACUAAUCAUGUGACAUCAGGUAUAUCCACACUUUCAUAUGCUCUGAAUCACUGCAGUUUUGGUUCAUGGAUAGUUGAUUCAGGAGCAAGUGAUCAUAUAUGCUCAUCUAUUAAAGCUUUUGAUUCCUAUCAAUCUAUUAAACCUGUUCAUAUUAAGUUACCAAAUGGUAACAUAACUAUAGCAAAAAUCUCUGGCACAGUGCAAUUCUCUUCAGGACUUGUUGCCAAAAAUGUGUUAUAUGUUGCAGACUUCAAAUUAAAUCUUUUGACUGUACCCAAACUAUGUGUUGAUGAUGAUUGCAUAGUAACUUUUGAUAAUGAUAAAUGUUUAAUACAGGAAAGGAGGAACUUGAAGAUGACUGGUUUGGCUGAUUUGAUAGAGGGAUUGUAUUUUCUGACCACUCAAGCUUCCCCAUCAACCAAACCUCAAUUUGUCAUAGCUUCUAUCAACUCUCAAAGUUCUUCUUUUCUACCUCAAGAAGCCUUAUGGCAUUUUAGAUUAGGUCAUUUGUCCAAUCAUAGAAUGCUUAGCUUAAAACAGUCUUUUCCUUGUAUUAAGAUUGAUGACAAUUCAGUUUGUGAUAUAUGUCAUUACUCUAGACAUAAGAAAGUACCUUUUCAUCUCAGUGUAAAUAAAGCAAACAAAUGCUAUGAAAUGUUUCAUUUUGAUAUAUGGGGUCUUGUUUCUAUUCCUUCUAUUCAUGGUCACAAAUAUUUCAUUACUGCUCUUGAUGAUCACAGUCGUUUUACUUGGAUCAUCCUAUGUAAAUCAAAAUUUGAAGUUCAAAAACAUGUUCAAAAUUUCAUUAUCAUGAUAGAAAAUUAGUUUAGUUGUCAUGUUAAAACUGUUAGGACGGAUAAUGGUCCUGAAUUUCUUAUGUCAGAAUUCUAUUCUUCUAAAGGCAUUGAGCAUCAAACAAGUUGUGUUGAGACUCCCCAACAAAAUGGGAGAGUAGAAAGAAAACAUCAACACAUCUUGAAUGUAGCUAGAGCUUUACUUUUCCAAUCAAAAUUACCUAAACAGUUCUGGUCUUAUUCAGUUUUGCAUGCAGUUUACAUAAUCAAUAGAAUUCCUACUCCUCUGCUGCAAAACAAAUCCCCUUAUUUUCUCAGAUUUGGUAAUAAUUGUGAUUUAAAUGAUUUCAAAGUCUUUGGUUGUCUUUGUUAUGCCUCUACCUUACAUAAUCAUAGAACAAAAUUUGACUCUAGAGCCAAAAAGUCUCUUUUCUUAGGAUACAAGCAAGGUGUUAAAGGAGCUAUUCUUUUUGAUCUUGACACCAAAAUCAUUUUUGUGUCCAGACAUGUAACCUAUCAUGAACAUAUUCUUCCUUACUCUAAUUCAAAUCAACCUUUUCAAUGGCAGUACCAUUCAAAUCAACCUAUAUCUUCUGCCAUUGAACCUAUCACCAAUCUCAACACUAAUCAAAAUGAAUCCACUGUAACCAAAGCCAUUAACCCUGAAGAUUCUGAAACUGAGAUAUCUUCCAACAUUGAACUUGAUGAUCACAUUCAACCACAUUCACAAACUUUACCUGAACCAGAUUAUUUAUCUCUUAGAAAAUCAACCAGAAUUAUACAAAAACCAACCUAUCUGUCAGACUAUGUAUGCAAUCUCUCUAAAGAAUCAGACAAUUCAUCAUCUUCAGGUAUACUUUAUCCUAUCACUCAUUUUCAUUCACUCAAUAGUUUAUCCCCAAACAUCAGAAGUUUGCUCUAGCUGUUACUAAUGCUGCUGAACCUACAAGUUACAAUGAAGCAAGCAAGCAAGAGUGUUGGGUUAAGGCUAUGGAAUCUGAACUUGAUGCUUUGAAACACAAUAAAACUUGGAUUUUUGUGGAUUCACCACCCAAUGUCAAACCUAUUGGUAGUAAAUGGGUGUAUAAAAUCAAACAUAAGGCAGAUGGGAGCAUAGAGAGGUACAUGGCCAGACUGGUGGCUAAAGGCUAUAAUCAAGUUGAAGGCAUUGAUUUUUUUGACACUUUUUCACCAGUAGCCAAAAUUACUACUGUCAGAACUCUCCUUGCCUUAGCAUCAAUCAACUCAUGGCAUCUACACCAAUUAGAUGUGAACAAUGCUUUUCUCCAUGGAGAUUUAUCUGAAGACGUUUACAUGACUAUUCCUCAAGGUGUUGUCAACAUAAAACCAAAUCAAGUGUGUAAAUUGUUGAAGUCUCUUUAUGGUUUAAAGCAAGCCAGCAGAAAAUGGUAUGAAAAAUUGACUAGUUUCUUAAUCAGUCAAGGUUACAAACAGUCUGCUUCUGAUCAUUCCCUCUUCACUCUUCAUUCAGAUCCCAUGUUCACUGCUCUUCUUGUGUAUGUGGAUGAUGUCAUUUUAGCAGGGAAUUCAAUGGAUGAGAUCAAUAAAAUCAAGGUUACCCUUGAUGCAGAAUUUAAAAUCAAGGAUCUUGGUCAACUUAAAUAUUUCCUUGGCAUAGAGGUGGCACAUUCUAAACUUGGAAUUAGUAUAUGCCAAAGAAAAUAUUGUCUUGAUCUUCUUCAUGAUACAGGCUUACUUGGUUCAAAGCCAGUUUCAACACCACUUGAUCCAUCUAUAAAGCUACACCAAGAUACUUCAAAAGCUUUUGAUGAUAUUUUUAGCUAUAGAAGACUUGUGGGAAAACUCUUGUAUCUCACCACAACCAGACCAGACAUAGCUUUUGUAACUCAACAACUAAGUCAAUUUCUAUCAACUCCAACCAUUACUCAUUAUGAAGCAGCUUGCAGAGUUGUCAAGUAUCUUAAAGGCACUCAUGGUCAAGGUUUAUUAUUCAGAAGAGAUUCAAUUUUACAGAUACUUGGAUUUACAGAUGCAGAUUGGGCUGGAUGUCCUGAUACUAGAAGAUCCACUUCUGGUUAUUGUUUCUUCCUUGGAUCUUCCCUCAUUUCAUGGAGAGCUAAGAAGCAGCAUACAGUUUCCAGAAGUUCAUCUGAAGCUGAAUACAGAGCACUUUCUUUUGCUAGUUGUGAAUUACAAUGGCUUCAUUAUUUGUUGAAAGAUUUGGGAGUGUCAUGCAUCAAGUCACCUGUAUUGUACUGUGAUAAUCAGAGUGCAAUACAUAUUGCUGGGAAUCCUGUGUUUCAUGAGAGAACAAAACACUUGGAGAUAGAUUGCCAUUUUGUUAGAGAAAGAUUACAGCAGGGUCUUUUCAAGUUGCUUCCUAUCAAGUCUCAAUCACAACUUGCAGAUUUCUUUACUAAGCCUUUGCCACCUAAGAACUUUCAUUCUUUCAUUUCCAAGCUCAACAUGUUGGACUUAUACCAUGCUAAGCUUGGAGGGAGGGUGUUAAAAUUGUAUCUUUGUUUGUUAUAAUUAGAUAGCUUGGAGAACAAGUUACUUUGCAACUCCAUAGAAUCUUACUAUACACUAGCUGCAUCUGAUCUUAAUUCACUAGAAAGUUUGUUAGGAUCUUAAACAGCUAUAUAUAGCUUGGCUGUAACCGUUUUCUUCUCAAUUCUAUGAAUCUAGCUUUUAUCUCAAUUUUCUCUCUUUCUUCUUUGGUAAGCUUCUGCAUUUCUUCACUUCACCAUGGAAAAUAGGGUGAAGUUUAACAGGUUACACAACGAACAUCCCUCAAAAGGGAGUUAGAGAUAAAAGCAGGAAUUAAAUUAAAAAUUCCACAAGUAACAUAUGAAGAAAACCCCGACUUGGCUACACUAUCCGCCACAAGAUUGACCUCUAUCUCAAAACAUAAGUGAUUUUGACAUAAUCAUAACCGAUACCGAAAGCAAUGCUAUAGAUAAUGAGUAUUGCUAGCAAAACUCAAAAACUCACUUCAUUAUUGGUUCAAAUUAAGGUGGGGCUCACACAUUCGAAAUGGGUUUCACUUAAAGUGUGGGAUAUACACUAGUUUCAUCCAAUAAAAGAAUGAAUGUUAAAGAGAGUAUCCCAAGCAUUACUCAUAAAACAAUUAACUCCGAACCAUACCCAUCCCUAGUAAGCAUAAUUUCAAACCAAGGUUUCAACCGACGGUAAUUAAUUUCUUUUUUUUUUUUAACAAAGAGAAGAAAAUAACGUAAUUAAUUGUUGUUUGUUGGGUCUUUUUUUUUCUUCUUUCUUCCAGGUGCUAUAAUAGUAUAGAGCAAUUAAUUGUCUUAUCUUUGUUAGCUUCAAAACUCCACAAGUAAUAAGGGUAAAUAAGUAAUUACAUAGUAACCCUAUGUUAUCUUUCAAUUUCAAACAAUCUCUUCCACUUCAGUCUUCUUCUUCUUCUCUCACGAUCACAACCACCACAGUCACAAAGCAUUCAGCUUUGUUUUCUGUCAUCAUCACCGAUUCUUCCUCUCAAUAAACAACUAGGGUUCCAUCUUUUCCUCCUCUACUUAAUCCGCUGUGAGCAUUCUGGCUUUUCCUACUCUUUCAUAUUCGCGCACAUAACAUGUUUGUGAAAUGUCCUCUGUGGAUUCUCUGUUUAGAAUAACCCUGCAAGCUCAAAUUUUAACUAUCCUUAUGUUUUUAUGUAAUUAGAUGUUGGAAUAAUAUAUCAUAGUACUACCCUUUGAUGCUCAGUUUUAGAAUCUCUUGCUGAUAACUCUUUUUUCAACCAAUUGAUUGAAAUUCAAAAAACAUUGAAUAAAAGGAACUGCAAGCAAACAUGAAAGCAAAGUCCAACAACAAGUAUUCGAAAUGUGGUGCUAUAAAAUAUCUUUUGUUUGCAAUAAACGACGACUGCAAACUCGGCAUAUACAUUGGACACAAUAAUGAGUUGGUAAGGUAUUUGGAGGAUGGUCGUGAAGAUGAUGUACCUACAUUUACACAAACAAAUAUCAUACUGUUUACCGCGUAGAUUGAGAUAUAUUGGUUAUUAUUGUAUCCAACGUAUCUGUCUCGUCAACGUUUAGUACUGGAGGUCGAGUCCUUUACUCGUUUGGUAGUUAAUUAAAUCUCUACUGUUGAAGCUUUGAUUGCACCCCAAAUUGGAUCAAAUCUCUCAAGGUCAUUGAUUUAGAACUGGUUGAAGUGGGAAAGAUCGAGUAAAGUGUGGAUUCUUUGUUUUAAUUUUCAAAUCUUUUUGAUUAUAUUAUUAAAAUCAAAUUGUUUGUGUUUAAAUUUUAAGGUAUUUGUGAGUGUUGUAUUUAUUUCUUUGUGUUGCUGUCGUCGUCGUUGUGCUUAUUUAAAUUUUUAAUCUUAUUAUGUUUGGUAGUGUUAGGAUUGGAUUCGCUACUGCCUUUUGCAUUUGCAUUUUGUUGGUGUGCUGCUACUAGAUUUGUUGCUACAUGCUGUACCUACUGCUUUUGUUGCUACUUAAGUCUUAAUUUGUAUUUUGAUGUUGUUGCUACUGUUUUUGCAUUCAAUUUACAAUUAAAUCAUGUAAAAUUUUGGAUUUGCAUUCUGUUUGUUCGAGAUUUGCAUUAUAUUUGCUGAUUGCUUGCUAUCAUUUACAACUUCUAGAUUUUUGUGGAAAUUAUGUGUUUUAUGAAGAUUGGUACUAUUAUUAAGUUGGCUGAGCCUUCAAACGAGAAUCAUGAACGAGAGCUUCUUCGUCUUCUUCUAGCAUCAUAGCAAUGGAAAUCGGAAUUGAUUAUUGGAUAACGGUGAAACGGUUCGAAGAACGGUUAUGGAAAAUUGAACGGUAAUAGAGUAAUAGAGAGAACAUGGUUAUGCAGCACUCAAGUGAGGGGGUCUCAAAGUUACCUAUGGUUAUGGAGAAUUGUACGGAUCGAACUUUUCCAUUUUUUUUUCAUUUAUUUAAUUACUAUGAUGUAUAUGUGGCUUUUUCAUGGGUGCCUCAAAGUUGCAUAAGGGAGUAAAGUUAGAGGGUUGGAAAGUGGGUUUUUUUAAUAGGGGAUCAAAAUCGCAACUAUUGCAAGUUAUUUUAUUUUAGGAACAAAUAUUUGAAAGAUGGAGUCUUGGAGCAAAAGAAAGGAGAAUUUGAGCUAAUUCGUGCCAAAAAUAUGAAGAUCUGAUACAAAAAUAUCUUGUGCAAAUAAUUUGAAGAUCUUGUGCAAAAAUAUAACAAGUGGCGGGCCCCUUUUACCCUUUUGCUGCUUUUGCUUCUUCGACAAAGCUGCCUAUUUUAGUAUUUCAGACCUAGAGCCUAUGGUUUCUUGUGCAACACUUUAGUGAUUUAAUUCUUAGGGCUCAAGUCAAUGUUAGACUAUAAAUAGAUCAGUCCCCUAGUUUGUAAAACCAUCUUUUGUUCUUGAAAUAAUAAGUGACAAUUGUUUUCAAUAAAAAGAUCAACCUUUAUUUUAUGUUCUUCUUCUUCUUCUUCUCUUCUAUGUCUACAAUGAACGUGAGUGAGUAGACUCUUCUUGUCUUGGGAUUGUUGGAUAAGUCUAAUGACGUAAUCCUAAUCAAACCAAACCAUAAACCCUAAUUUUAUAUAAAUCCACUUUCUAAUCUAAUUUCACCGUUUUGAUAAUGAAUUAACAAAUACCAAACUCAUAAAGCGAACGCGGAGGGAUAGUAUUUGUUAAUUCAUCAUCACAAAUAUCAAUUCAUAAAAGCGAACACGGAGCUUUGAUAUUGGAACAAGUGAAAUUAGACAAGGAUUGCGAAAUAUGAGAAUAGUCUAGCAAACCUUGAGAAACAUAAAGUUUUGUUCUUCAAGGAUUCUAAUAACAAUCAACCAUGAGAAUAGGCGUGGUUGCUAGAGGAACACACUCAAUGAUUUUGAGAGAAACUUUGAUACGCUUAAGAGAAACUUGUCUUUAGAAAGUAGGUCCAAUAUAAAGUUUAGGUUUAGGGUUUGUUUGUGAAGGAAUUGUCACUAUGACGAACCAAUAAUCCCAAGGCGCUAUUAUUUUAUUAUUAUUAUUUUCUUUUAAUUAAACAAAAAUACAACUUUCUACCUUCUAAACUUUCAAUCUAAUCAUUGUUAAAAGUUAAUUGAAUUCAUAACUCCCUGUCGGAACGAUACUCUUUUUAUUACUUCGAUAGAACCGUGCACUUGCGGUUUUACUCAUCACCCCUGAAGUUGAGGAACACUUGGUAUGUGAGUCCAUAGGAAAAGGAUGAGGUAGAGGAAGGUGAUUGAAUAACCAUAUAUAACAACUACGCAGAAAUGGAAAUAAGAAUAUAGUUCAAGAAUGAAGAAUAUAUUAAUUUGUAAAGAUUUGGCACACUUGUCUAAUCCGCACAUCUGAACCAAUAAAAGGUUUAGAAGGUUGUUCAGAAGUUUCAUCAGAACAAACCCAUAAAUCAUUGUGCAUAUCAAGAACAUGCAAGAACAUACAUGAUAUGAACAUAUCAUAUGCAAAAAAGGAUUUCAACUCUAUGGUAAUUAAAUGAUUAAUGGACUUUGAUGUUCUUGGUAUUUAACAUAUGUUCUUAAGUGAUUAACCAAAACAGGAACAAAGUAUAAAUCAAACCAAGAUUCAAGUGAUCAAAGAACAUUAAAGCUUAUGAACCCAAUAAUAGUUCAGAAGGUUAGUUAGAGUUUAGAAGGUUCGAAGAUAUUUCAGAAGGUUGUUCUAAAGGUUUAUCAAGAAUAAGCCCAUAAAUAAAUUAACAUUAUCAAGAACAUACAAGGCUCACAUGGCAUAAAAGAAAGUGCAUAAAAGUACUAUGACUUUAGAUCAAUCAAGGAUUAAAUGCAUUAAUUUGGAUAAAAUUUAAAAGGAAUAUUAUUCUAAGAAAAAUUAGGAAUAUUCUUCUAAGAAAAUCAUCAUAGAUGUUAUGCAUAGUGCACCUCAUUGAUGCCCUUCAUUCAAGUUCACUAUUAAUAUUUGAUAGCAUCAGAUGAAGAUCAUUAAGAUGAUCACAAAUAUUCUGAAGUUCAAAAGGUCGUUCAGCUACAUGUUUUAUCUGACAGAAAGGUACAAUAGGUGAAAAAGCAAAAAGCAAAAGCAAAAUGCAAGAUCAAUUCAGAUUCAAUUAUAAUUAGACACAUAAGGGAGCAUAUACGUUCAGUAAAAAUGAUUACACAAAUCAACUCUAAAUAUUCCUAAAAUCUUAAAGAGUGUGUAACAUUUCUCUCUUAUCUUUUCAAUGAUAAUCUUCUUCUUCUUUCAAACCUCCAAACCAUUGUAAGAGAAAAUCUCAUCUAGUUUUAAGGGUAUUAAAAUGUUAGUUGAGUAAAAGAAAAGAGUAGAGUCUUGUCUGACUUAGAAAGAAAAGUUGUAAGCCUAUUGAGGCUAGAUAAUACAGUUUUUGCAUGCUAAGGCUAGAUAAUACACUUUGUAAGCCUGCUGAGGCUAAGAUAAUACAGAAGGUAAAGUCCCUAGUGGUAGAAAGUGUAAGGUGCAUGAGUUGAGAAGGUUGUCUCAAGGAUCAUAGUGAACAUCUCACAGUUGUGAGGAGUGGAAUAACCCACAUUAGAUGAACCACUAUAAUUCUCGUGUGUUAUAUUCUUUACCAUUACUCUUUAUUUUUAACAUUAAUAUUUACAUUCACUUUACACACCAUUAUCCCUUUAUUUAUUGUUUAUUACACUCACACUUCUGCAUGUACUUCAGAACAUUCUGAACUUGACCUAGUUUUUAUUUAUUUCAAGUAUCUACUUGAGAAUCACUUACCACAAGUGCAAGUUAAAUUUAAAAAGGGUCAUAAUUAAACCCCCCUUAUUUUGAAUAUUAUUUCCACUUCAAAGAAAACAGAUUACAUAAUGCUAUUGUUGUUCUUGAGAAGAGAAUAAAACAAAUCAGAGAGAAAAGGACGAAGAGAAGAGGAAGGUGGCGUUGUUGUUGUGCCUGUGUUUUUUUUUUUAAUGAAUUUGUAGGUUUUUUUUUAAUAAAUUUUUUGGAUUUGUGAUAAACACCAUGAACUUAUAAGUUAAAGAAGAUGAAGAUGAUGCUGAACAUAUAUCCUAGACAAAAAAAAAAAUAAAAAAAAUAAAAAAAGAAAUUAUACAAUCACAAUGCCACAUAAUAAAAAAUGCUGACUCAGCGCGCCGCAUCACUUUAGUUACCUAGUUAGAUGAGGCCAUGGUCGAUUUAUGAAGAAUCUUGAUUUUACAAUGAUGAAAUCUACUUUUUUACUACAUGAGGUAAACUGGAAAUGACUUAUAUUACAGGGGAUAAAACACUCUUAACCCUAGAAUAUAACAUGGAAGAGUUAAAUUCUUCAAUUUAUAAAAAAUAAAAUGACAUUAGAAGUUUAAAAAGUCAAAAUUUAGAGUUGGUUAUAUUAAAGCAACAAAGAAACUCAAAUGCACAAAUAAUAUUAUAGUGUCAUAUUAAUGUACAAGAGAAAUCCAUAAAUUUCACUCACAAUACAUUAAUGAGCAAAGACGGAGUACCAUGAGUAUUGUAUGCAUACCCAGUACGUGUACUUUAACGUUUUACAAUUACUUAUACUUCAAAGUAUAUUCUGUUUAACUAAUAAAUUGUACACUUACUUGAUUUUCCUCGUAAACAUUACCAUUUAAAACAUGAGGGAAAUUGGAAAUGANNNNNNNNNNNNNNNNNNNNNNNNNNNNNNNNNNNNNNNNNNNNNNNNNNNNNNNNNNNNNNNNNNNNNNNNNNNNNNNNNNNNNNNNNNNNNNNNNNNNUCCCCUCCCCUCCCCUCUCAUCCGCUUCUAAAAAUUGAACCAAACACUUCAAAUUAAAAAUCUUCCCUCCCCUCCAAAACUCUCGAACCAAAUGAACCCUAAAGUGAUCGACUUAUAAUUUGAAACAGAGGAGUAAUACUUAUGGAUCGGAGUAAAGAGUGCAGUGAGUGAAUUGAUGUAAAAUUUAGUUUUUUUCAUGCUAUAAUAUCUAUAAUGACUAUCGGGGUGCUAUUGUUAUUGACAAACUAGUUUACAAUGAAAACAAAUAUUACAAUGGAAACAAAUAUUACAAUGUUUGUGUAAUACACAAAAUUAUCAACCUAUUCGUCCUUCCUCAUGAUGCCCCUAAAGUCAACCUUCAUCCAGUAGAACUACAAUUUGAAGCUUACUGUUUGAUUUUUGAGUUACUGAUUCACAUUUAAUUUCCAUGAUAUUAUUGACGAUUGGUCAAACAUAAAAUAAAACUACAUUUUAAUUGACUUGUUUUAUUUAUUUAUUUAAGUUUUCUCGUUGUUUUAUUGUUUGAAUGGUAACCACAUUUAAGAUAUCAGCAAGAAGAGGUGGUAGUGCAACGAUAUCUACUCUGUGAUUGGUCCACACGCUAUAGGAUGUUGCAAGGAAGUUUCACUUACUACUUUUGUCAUUAGUUUUCUCCUUGUUUUAAAGAAUCCACCUAACAGACCACACAAAUUACUCAUUCAUAUUCUCCAUUUUCAAAGUCUUUUUUCAUCCAUAUUCUUUCAAUUCUCAUGGCUAUGCAAUCACCUUCCCGAGUGUUCCUCAGUUUCAGGGGCAGUGACACUCGCAACAAAUUUACCGGUAAUCUCUAUAAGGCUCUUGUUGACAAGGGAAUUCGUACUUUCAUUGAUGAUAAUGAUCUUGAAAGAGGAGAUGAAAUCACACCAUCACUUGUCAAGGCCAUUGAAGAAUCUAGGAUUUUUAUUCCCAUAUUUUCUGCCAACUAUGCAUCUUCUUCAUUUUGUUUGGACGAACUUGUCCACAUCAUUCACUGCUACAAGACAAAGAGUUGCUUAGUAUUUCCCGUUUUCUAUGAUGUGGAACCUACUCACAUACGAAAUCAGAGUGGGAUUUAUGGUGAGCAUCUUACUAAGCAUGAAGAGAGGUUUCAAAAUAACGAGAAAAACAUGGAGCGAUUGCGUCAAUGGAAGAUAGCUCUUAUCCAAGCUGCUAACUUGUCCGGCUAUCAUUAUAGUCCUCAUGGGUACCCCACUUUACUUAAAACUUGUUUUUCCUUUCUAUAUUUUAUUUCAUUAAUUUUUAUGCCUAAAUAAUCUACUCUCAAAGCUUAAAUAGGAACACAUUUUCUAUUAAUGUUUUUAAAACAAGUGUAAGUUAUUUAUAUGUCAAAAAAGUUAGAAUUGCAUAAUAUAUUCUCAAUACAUGGAUGUGAUUUUGAUUUUAGUGUAUUUUCUAAUUUAUCUUAUUGGACAUGAAUAGAUAUGAAUACAAGUUUAUUGAGAAGAUAGUCGAAGACAUCUCCAACAAUAUCAAUCAUGUUUUUUUAAAUGUAGCCAAAUACCCUGUUGGAUUACAGUCCCGAAUAGAAGAAGUGAAAUUGCUUCUUGACAUGGGCUCUGAGGAUGAGGUCCGCAUGGUAGGACUUUUUGGUACUGGAGGCAUGGGUAAAUCAACACUUGCAAAAGCAGUUUAUAAUUUUGUUGCUGAUCAAUUUGAAGGUGUAUGUUUUCUUCAUAAUGUCAGAGAGAAUUCAAGUCAUAAUAACCUGAAACAUCUCCAGGAAGAUCUCCUUUUAAGAACAGUUAAAUUGAACCAUAAGUUAGGAGAUGUUAGUGAGGGAAUUUCAAUCAUUAAGGAAAGACUAUCUAGAAAGAAGAUUCUUUUGAUUCUUGAUGAUGUUGACAAACUGGAGCAGCUAGAGGCUUUGGCUGGAGGACUUGAUUGGUUCGGUCAUGGAAGCAGGGUCAUCAUUACCACUCGUGAUAAACACUUACUAGCCUGUCAUGGGAUUACAAGUACACAUGCAGUAGAAGAAUUGAAUGAGACAGAAGCUCUUGAAUUGUUGAGGCGAAUGGCUUUUAAAAAUGACAAAGUUCCUUCAAGUUAUGAAGAAAUUUUAAACCGUGUAGUUACUUAUGCAUCUGGCCUGCCCUUAGCAAUAGUAACAAUAGGGGGCAAUUUGUUUGGAAGGAAGGUAGAAGAUUGGGAGCGUACAUUAGACGAGUAUGAAAAUAUUCCCGAUAAAGAUAUCCAAAGGAUACUUCAAGUAAGCUAUGAUGCUUUGAAGGAAAAGGAUCAGAGUGUCUUUCUAGACAUUGCUUGUUGCUUCAAAGGGUGUGAAUGGACAAAGGUUAAAAAAAUACUUCAUGCUCAUUAUGGCCAUUGCAUAGAACAUCAUGUUGGAGUGUUGGCUGAAAAAUCUCUCAUAGGCCAUUGGGAAUAUGACACUUAUGUGACCUUACAUGACUUGAUAGAGGACAUGGGUAAAGAAAUCGUCCGACAAGAAUCUCCCAACAAGCCUGGAGAACGCAGUAGGUUGUGGUUUCCCGAUGAUAUAGUUAACGUUUUAAGAGAUAAUACAGUAAGGAAAACUAAUAUUUAUGAACAAUUUGUUGUUUUAGCUUUAGCCAUGACUUUGAUCAUCCUGCCACCUCAUACUUGUGUUUUUUAUUCACUUAAUUACAUGUAUAUUACUCUAUAUAAUAUUUGUAUUAUGAUUUAUUCUUUUUUUAUUUUGUUAAAAGGGAACUGGGAAUAUUGAAAUGAUAUAUUUAGAAUUUGACUCAACGGCAAGAGAAACAGAGUGGGAUGGAAUGGCUUGCAAGAAGAUGACAAAUCUCAAAACACUUAUCAUUGAAUAUGCUAACUUUUCAAGGGGUCCUGGGUAUCUUCCAAGUAGUUUGAGAUAUUGGAAAUGGAUAUUCUGUCCUUUGAAGUCUCUAUCUUGUAUUUCGAGCAAGGCAAGUGAAAUAAGUUCAUUUUUCAAUUGUGUAUAUUGAUAAUUCUCUAUUAGAUUAUAAUUUUAAUUUCAGCUUAUUUAUUUGUUUUUUAUGCAGGAGUUCAACUAUAUGAAAGUCUUGACAUUGAACUAUUCUCGAUAUUUAACCCAUAUACCCGAUGUCUCAGGUCUUCCAAAUCUAGAAAAGUGCUCCUUUCAAAACUGUGAAAGUUUAAUUAGAAUUCACAGUUCGAUUGGACACCUAAAUAAACUUGAAAUCUUAAAUGCAUCUGGUUGCAGCAAGCUUGAGCAUUUUCCACCCUUACAGCUGCUCUCUCUUAAGAAAUUCAAAAUCUCUCAUUGUGAGAGUCUCAAGAAAAUUACAAUUCACAACUCGAUUGGACACCUAAAUAAACUUGAAAUCUUAAAUACAUCUAAUUGCCUCAAACUUGAGCAUUUCCCACCCUUACAGCUGCCCUCUCUUAAGAAAUUUGAAAUCUCUGGUUGUGAGAGUCUCAAGAAUUUUCCAGAAUUAUUAUGUAAGAUGACAAAUAUAAAAGAUAUUGAGAUAUAUGAUACUUCCAUAGAAGAAUUGCGAUAUUCAUUUCAAAAUUUCAGUGAACUUCAACGGUUAACAAUAUCUGGAGGGGGAAAGCUCAGGUUCCCAAAAUAUAAUGAUACAAUGAAUUCAAUAGUGUUUUCAAAUGUGGAACAUGUUGACCUCAGAGACAACAACCUCUCGGAUGAAUGUCUCCCAAUACUUCUCAAGUGGUUUGUUAAUGUGACAUUUCUAGACUUAUCGGAGAACUAUUUCACAAUUCUUCCCGAGUGCCUUGGUGAAUGUCACCGUCUUAAGCAUCUUUAUUUGAAGUUUUGCGAGGCUCUUGAGGAAAUUAGAGGGAUUCCACCAAAUCUUGAAAGGCUUUGUGCAGACGAGUGUUAUUCAUUGAGUUCCUCAAGUAUAAGAAUGUUAAUGAGUCAGGUUUGUUGUUUUUUUAUUGCACUAGUAUUUGACAUAUAGUAUUUCAGUUCAUAGUGUAAUUAUUAUUCUUUUUAUAUAAACUAACAGAAACUGCAUGAGUCUGCUGGAUGCACCCAUUUUCGAUUCCCAAACAAAACGAGAAGGAUUCCUGAUUGGUUUGAGCACCAAAGCAGGGGAGGCAAAAUUGCUUUCUGGUAUCAUAAAAAACUCCCUUCUAUUAGUUUUACUUUUAUUAUUAUUUAUGAGCACUACACAACAGUCAAAUUAUUUGUGAAUGGAUAUGAAAAAGAGAUAAGUUUCGACGAAUUCACUGGGGAAUUCGGUAAGCUAGUGGAUGAUGAAACUGUGUUGGAUAACUAUACAACUUUGUUGCAUAUAAAAUUGGAAGAAGGUAAUGAACUCGGUGAAAGACUUUUGAAAAAGGAAUGGAUCCAUGUGGAGUUUAAGUUGAAGGAUCACGAGAAUAGUGUUUAUGCACAAAUGGGAAUCCACGUGUGGGGAAUUGAUCCUUCAUUAUCACAAUUUAUGCAAGAGGGAAUUGAUCCUUCAAUAUUAUAUCCUCAAAAAAAGCAAAGAUUGGUGGAAGUGGGAGUUUCAGAGAAAGGGGAGGAGGAGGAGGAGGGAUGAGAUUGAAAUAUUAAGCAGUGCGCAAGAUGAAAGAAAGAUGUUGGGUACAUUCCUUAGUCUAGGUCCAUCAUAAAGUUAACCGUCUUCUUGUUAUUCUCUCAAUCUCAACAUUGCAGGUUUGUGCUUUGUUGUAUAUACUUUGUAUAAAUGUUGAUUAAUUUCUGUAUAUAGUCAGUUACAAAUUCAUUACUGUACGUUUGGAGACAUGCAUUAGAUUAUAGAAUGAAUACCAUUUUAGAAGUACAUGUAAAUUCAUGGAGGCCAACCUCGGAUAAUGUAUUUGAAUGUUUUAUGUAGUCAAUUUAUCUGUAAGGGUUAUGAAAAAGUAGUUUUUAUAUGGUGUUUUAGUUACCUAUGAAAAUUCAAUAUUUGCAUUGUAUGUAAUUUUUAUAAUCUAUUCUGGUUUUUAUCAAAGUCAAAUGAAUUCACAAAAGCUUUCCUCAAUUUUUUCGCUAGAUCAGGUCUGAGCUUCAAUAUGCAAUCCAUCUGGAAUUUGGUAGAGUCCUAUUUGGUACUGAUGCUUGGAUCGAUGUCCCUCUCUACUACAGAACAUAGACCAAGGGCCUUAACUGGCAAUUAGUUACACACAUUCAUGGAAACAAGGGUUGAAGCAUUCGCUCGCAAGCAACUCAGGUAAUAGAAUUUAAUUUUUAAUUAAAUGGGUUUGCCAUGUCCAUUCAUCAAAAUUCAAUUGCAUAAAGAUAUAAGCAAAUAUAUUCAAUUGCAUAAUUCUUUUACAAGUUCUGACAUAUGCAGUGGGGUCACUAUCACCGUAGUUUUUGGUUGAAGUCAUAUGUUGUUUACUUGUUGGUUUUUCAAGUUCUGACAUGAUAUUAUUUUUCUUCCCAUUUCCAACUGAUCAACUACUUUACGUGCUUCAAUUUUUUUCAAUCACUGCUAAAUUUUAGUGGAGAAGAAACAAAUGAAUCUAAAAAAUUUACGAUCAACCAAAUUCUAUUUGGAGGUGAAUGUUUUUUCAUAAUCUAACUUUGUAAAUGAAUUUUAAGUGAUUUGAAAACAUGGAAUAAGGUCUUCAAUAAAUGAAUAUGUAUCAGGUGCUUUUGGUUCAGUUUUAGACUUUUAGAUGGUAGGGAUCGUUCUUUUAAAGAAAUAUCCUUGGAUACCUCCAAAGCAGUUUUCCUGGUUUUGUCGAUCUGUCUUAAGUAUAUAUGCAAGUAUCUGAAUAGUGGAUGUUACAAAAAAUUAUGUUUUGUGGGAGCACCGCUCUCUGCGGUUUUUGUUUUUAACCAAAUUGUUUCUAGUCUCCUUUAUAGUAACUCUCCUAUUUCACACUUUUCAAAGGUCUUAUAAAACAUAUUGAGAGGGAAUUUUUUUUUUAGCAUGAUCAGUGAAAGACAUAAAAUGCCCUUUGACUUUGAGGUGCCUACUGAUAGUUGAAUAAUGGCUGCAGAUGUGAAGAAUCACAACAGCAGCGUGGGUGAUUACUUCGAUCUUAUGUUGCAGUUGGAAAAGAAAUUGGAUCUGUUGAUGAAUGCAUGAUUUGGUGAAAAUGCAAAGUUGAUGUCUCCGUCCUGCUGCCACUUUCCUGCUAUCAUUAAAAGCGAAAGCAAAGUCCCAGGGGCUGUUAUGGUGGCUGUUACGAAGGCUGUGAUAGGAAUUUGCCAACAAAUCUUCUGGUCUGUUUUGUACUUUUUUUUUUGUUCCUUAUCUAAGUUUCUAUGGUCGGUCUUUUCGACUAUAAUGGAAUAAUACAUGUUUGUUUAAAGAGGGUGCUACUGCAAUGUAGUUAUUGCUUCUAGCAUGGCAUUUACUAGGCUGAUUUGGUCUUUUCGAACUCAUCCAAGGACUGCAGGAUUUGGAGGACUUGAUCGGAAUUAUGACAAAGCUUUUCAAUUUGGAUUUUAUGGAAGUAUAGGCUGGUCAAAUAUCCUUCAUGCAGAGAUUCAGGCUCUCCUUGUUGGUCACUUGAUCGGAAUGUUGUUUCUUGAAAUGAUUAAAGUUUGUACCAAAAGACUAUCGGUUUGCAACAUGUGCUCUCUAUGGCAAAAUUAUCCUAGAAGAUCAAAAUGAUUAAAUAAGAAGCUCACAUUUACUAGAAAAUAUCUUUACAAACAUAUCCAAAAUGUGCAUGCUUAUUACACAGUUCCAAGAGUAGUAACAAAACACUGUACAUUCGGUAAAGAUAAAAUAUCAUUCAUUGAUAUAUAAACCAGAUAAGUUUGCAAAUAAAGAGAUUAAAAAAUCAAUAUUGAAUUAUGAUAUGAACAAUUGAUAAGCCACUUUGUAUAUAAGGUAAUAUUCAAAAAACGAAAUUCAUAUACCUCUUGGUGAAGACAAGAAAAACAACUAGUUACUGAUUCCUCCAAGUAGAAGAAAGACUUCCUUGUAUAUUGUUAUCUGAGUACAACCCUCUUCUUUGCAACCAAGCAUCUCAAUCAAUUGGGUGCUCAAAUCAAGCCAAACUAAUUCCUUAUCUUUUCUUUUGAAAAAUAUUUCCCCCGUCACCCCAACUCUAAUUGGGCGCUCAACACAAAGCAAUGGUUCAAAUGUAAAGAGUUCGGACCACGAUUCCUUCAUACCAAUUGAUACGUGAAAAGUAGUCAUCUUUUCAUGAUAUGAGAUCAAAGCAACAUACCCAUUUAACACCACCAAGUUUACCUACUUUAAUUUAACACCAGAACAAUCAUAUAUGUUUGAGGGUAUAGGUGUUACAAAAAACACCUCACUGCUUAAGUGAAAAGAUACCAAACAUGGUCAUCUUUGGUAAACAACCAAUGACACACUCCAUCCAUGUAGACUCGGGUGCCCUCAGUACAACUCCCAAGAAGACGGCAUCUCAAUAUCAAGUUUUCUCCAUGAGUUACUUCUUAGGCUAUAUAUCUCCCAAGCAUUAAUUUCUUCCAACCAGCCUAAAGUUGUAAUUUCUUCAAGGUCAUCAGAGUAUUGAAAUGAUGGUUGUAUCAAAACUUGUACAUCCCGAAUGACCUUAUAAUCACUUAUAACAUGGUCAUAACCAAAUCCAUGAAGACAAGAAUAAAACCAAACUUCAACUAAAGCCUUAGCUUCAUCUGUGAUAGCUGACUCAAUCUCACCGGGAGGAAGGAGAUUAAAUGUUUCCGUAGCUGGGUUCCACAGUGUAAUUUUUUCAUAAUCGCCUUCUUGAUAUUCAUGAAGACAAAAAGUACCAUUAAUACUACCAAAACCAAACACAUGAAUACUAUCAUUUUCAAGAAAAGGAUUUGUGAAUUCCAGUUUGAUUUUAUUCUUGAACCUCUCACCAGAAAAAGAAUACAAAGCUUCUUUAUUGUGUUCAAUAACCUUUAGGAGGAGAGAUGCACCAUCGUAAUAAGAACAACAGUGAGAAUUGGAAAAGAAAUUCGUGCGGAACAUGUUCUUGAAGUGAUGGUUCUCAAAUAAGAGGGACCAUGAUUUUCGAAUACAUUGAAAUCGCUUAAAAGAUUUAAGCGGCAACUUUGAUAGAAUUGAAACGGCUAUAUCAUCUGAUAUAUAAGUGUUCACUUUUCCAUCUUCUGAACCCACAUAUCUCUUCUUCUCCAUCGAUUCAAGAUGAGAAGAGCUUCGAUCGUGAGUAGUGUUCAUCGCUUUGAAGAAAUUUUGAUGGUUUUAGGGUUUUUAGAUGCAAUAGUAUUUUUUAUACUUAUACAAUCUAGGGGUGGAAAAAUAGUUUAGACCUGCCCGAGACCGACCCGUCCACAAUAAAAAAAGGACAGGGCCAAACCGGGUUGGGUGGGUGUACAGGUUGAAGAUUCAGUUUAGGAUGGGUUUGUACGGUCUAUUCCGGGUGAAAUAAUUACUAGUGUGAGUAACCAUAACCGACCCGUACAUGGUGGGACAGCCAACUCACUCCUUAGAAUUGUUGGGCCAACCUAGUUAACAACACCCUUAGGCCCAAAUAAUUCAAGUCUUUCCCAACCCAACCAAAAAACACCAUAGUUCACAACACUCUUUCAAACCGUAGAAUCUUUUUCAGUUGUGCCGUUUCACCAUUUCUCUGGUUUGUCCUCCACCAGCCUCUGUCUUUCCUACUGACUAAAAUGACAUAACCUAUAACGUCUAGCAUUGUUCGACUAUUUUUGUGGAUAGUUCGUGAGUUUCCUUUGUUGAGGGGUUCGUAGCUCCCCAUUCUCGGUUACCAACUUUCCACUUCACGACAUUAUUUGUUAAGAAGGUCUGGCGCCACUAUAAAUAGGGAGUGUGAGUUUAGUGCCUCAUUGUCCAACUUGAGCUUCAACUAAGUCUGAUGUCUUCGGGACACACAUACUAGCUUACAUAGCCUUUGCUUAACCUUCCAUAAUAAAACUCGUCUAAUCUCUAAUUGUCUAUCUCCGAUUUCAACUAUCAUAAUUAUUUUUAGGUGUAAACAUAUUACACGUGUGUAUAUCUUAAUUGUAGUUUGAUUGUUAGUUAGGAAGUGUGUGAAAAAGUUGUAGAGCUAACCACUCACUUCUCUGUGCAAAUAGGAUAGAAAGCUUCAUUAUGUAACUAACUGGGUAUUAUUUUGAUCAUUGAAUAUAGAAGAUUCAGAGCACAAUGCUCACUUCAUUCUUCUUUUUUUGUGUUUUACCUUUCACAUUUCAUGUCAAAUCCUUGAUGAUUGUGUAGAACUCAAUAAAACACUGUAACAAAAAAUAAACCCCCCGGACUAAAUUUAUAAUUAACAGUUUCGAUUUUUUUUUUUUACAUAUUUGUAGCAAUAGAGAAUUAUAAUUCGUAUAUGUAACAUGAUAAAGUUUUUUCUCUCCUUUUUAUCAUUUCUUUUAAAUUUCGAAGAGUAAAUUAUUUUAAAUUCGUAUAUUUUGAAGUGUUAAUAUAGUUUAUUUCCUCUCUCUCUCACAUAUAUUCUCAGCAACAAAAAAUAUAAUAUUUAUAAACUCAUCUCUGAAUAAAAUUGACCCAUCCACCAGUUCCUUGUUACUCAAGCAAUUGAAUUUUUCUUCAUCACUCCUUUCCAAAAGUCAAUGAUCUAUGUUCUUUCCAUACUCUGUAGUAUAUUGCAACGAAAUCACCUAGAAAAGCAAAAGCAACACACCAUACCCAAAAAUCUACCAAUUUCCACCCUUUAAAAACUCACACAAACACAUAUUCACCAACCACCAAAAACCCAUCAUCAUCACAAAAAUAUUCAAAUCUCAUCAAAAUGUGUUGCAGACCUCGUUGGUUUUGGUGCUUCUAUUGCACAAUCUAUGUCGUUAUAUUCUUUUUCAUGAUUACCGCGGUCAUCUUCUGGAUAGUAAUCUCCCCCUCAAGCGUGAAAUUCCACAUAACCGAUGCUACUCUCACAGAGUUCAACAUCACAAACAACAACACCUUGUACUACAAUUUGAAAGUCAAUGUCACAGUACGAAACCCCAACAACAACAUCAUUGUUUAUUACCGAAGAAUCACUGCGAUUGCUUGGUACAAAGACAAUGGUUUUAGUUAUGUGAGUUUGACACCGUUCGAUCAAGGACACAAGAAUACAACUUUUCUUGGACCGAUUGAGUUUAAAGGAAAUACUAAGAUCAAACUUGGACGUCAACAACUUGACGAGUAUUUUGAAGAGAGGCGUCUUGGGAUUCACAAUGAUUUGGCUGUUGAUUUUGAUGUCCGAAUUAGAGCUAAGUUUGGAAGCUUUUACAAGAGUGGUCGGUUUAAUCCGCCAGUUGUGCAGUGUCGUCGUUUGAGUGUUCCUUUGGUUUCUUCUUCUAAUGGUAAUUCAUCAUCGUCACCAUCAUCAUCAACAUUUUCCUUUAGUGAUAGAAGAUGUAGCAGUGGUUCUUUCUUUACAGAUCGUGAUGCCGAUGCAGGAGCUUGAUAUGUAUAUAACAAAGUGAAUUUGUAUACCGUUUUCUUCACUCUUAUUUCAGUGUAAAUUUCAGUGUGUUAUAGUUGUAAUUUUUUCAUUUCAAUUACAUUCAAUCUACAAUGUUGUACACUUAUCGCCAAACAUAUAGAUUAUGUUUGCAAUCUGAACAUGGAUUCAAGCACUGGAUACUGAAUUAUUGGCUUUAGAAAAGAAUGGUACACGAACACCGGUUAAUCUUCGUCCUAAGAUCAAACUUAUAGGUAGUAAAUGGGUCUAUGAGAUCAAAUAUCAUUCAUAUGGUAUUAUACCAGCUUCAAUAAAAUCAACAUGUUUAUAGCUUCAAUAAAAAAAAUGUUACAUUUUUUUUCCCUAAAAAAAAUUAACAUUUAUAUAACAAUAUUUAAUUCUUAUUGAAGCUAUAGAUAUGUUGAUUUUUUAUUUUUUUUAUCUAUAGACGUGUUGAUUUUUCUAACUCCUCUUAUCUUGUGAAUAUAAUGGCAUCCACUUCUUUAUGAUGUGAAUAAAACCGUAAACCCUAAACCAAAAACUUGCCACCAUUCAUGUCAAAUAUGGACAGAGCCUCAUCACCCAGGACCUAAAUAUUGCCAACCAUUUAAAAAAAUUAAAUAUUGUCAAACAUAGUAUUAAACUUCUAGUUGCAUAGAAAUGAAUCAAUUAUUUCGGUCUUGACAUUUCAAAAACAAACAAUAUGUCAAUGUCAAACAUUCCUCUUACUUUGAAAACUAUUCAUUUUGAGAGCAAUGAUUGGUUAAUUAGUUUAUAUAAUCCGUUUCAAUAUGUCAACAUCACACAAACAUUAGUACAUUACGGCGUGUGUGUGAAUUCUACAGGUCACUAAAAUUGAAAUUAAAACAACUCUCUCUCCCCCUCUCUCCCU
rnacentral:lncRNA from 1 species